rnacentral:lncRNA from 1 species
GAAAUUUCUCGGCUUUGCUCGGAGAAGUCAAUCAAAUUUGUGGGAGAAGAAGAUGAAGAAGACGAAUCUGUGGAAGAAGACGAUGAAGAAGACGAAUCUGAUGAAGAAGACGAUGAAGAAGAUGAAUAAGUGCACGUUGCACUUGGAAGCUUUUUGAUGCGCGACCACAAAUUGUUCCCUUGUGUUCAAACCUUAAACAAAUUGAGGUAAGUACCAAUGUUUUCCUUUUUUUGGCAAUCAAAUUCUUUCACAUAUAUGAACAGAGAAGUUUUGCAUGCACUUUUUAACGACCUUUUAGCGGAUUCUUGUCUGAAAAUCUGAUGAAGGUAUUUAAAUUAUGAUGCCUCCGAACAGCCAGAGGGCUCUUAAUUAUGUACGAGUAUUUGUGUUCUUUUCCUAGUUUGGUUUGGCUUUUUUAGCUACAUUUUCUUAGGAUGGUUUCUCCUAGAGGUAUGCAUGUCGAUUGCAUCAUUUUUAUUUGAUAUGUAACAAAUUAUUAGAGACCGUUGUUGAUUUGCUGCUUCACACAUAUUUUGAAAUUGAUAACCUCACUUCACAAGGGAGAUAAAUUCGCUAUGCCGUAAACAAAUAGAUGGAAUGUGUGUUGGAAGGUCAUACAAAUAUGGUUCUCAUUCUGGGACUUUACAGCACAAUCAACUCAUUGUUGCGACUUUGAAGUAGACAGACACUCUGUAUUGCCAUGCUUAAGUUCAGUUUAUUUUUCAGGAAACGUGUGCUUCUUAGUGCGAUUUGCAAAUGUUAUGGAGAAGUCAUAAAUGAGGGAGCCACCACAAUUCUGAGAUUACCAGUGUGGCAGCACUGGCUAAAGCAAUAGCACCAGAAUAUUUUAUCUCAGCAAUGAUGCCUUCAAUCAUAGCAAUCUUUGAUGGGCACACUGACAAAAAUCAUUCUGUGCAGCAAACGUCGCCUACAGGAGUAACUGAGAGAACGCAGCAUUCGCUGUACCAGUAGAGAAGGAGCGCCCUUUUGCUGAGACUUGAGAAUUGCACUCACUUACAAAAGAUUGGUAAGAAAAAGAGAGCACCUUCCCUUGGGGCUGCCUUCAGUAAUAGAACUGUGCAUUCUGAAGCAAUAUUGGCAUUGUUUCUGUCAUGAGAUCCACUCAAUUCCAGGAAAACACUGGCACUGCCACCAAAGUCGGUUAUGCGUCAUAUGCUACUCGCCACCUCAGAAGAACUUUCAUCAAGUAGUGGUGGCUCUUCCAUGUACACAAAACCUUUCAUAGAACCUAGCGAUCAUAAAAGAAGAGCUUUACACGAGCCAAGCGUCAAUUUGAGAAAUUCUUCCAUAUUCUUCGCAUGUACAAAAUCCAAAAGGAUUCCAAUCUGCCAUACUACUUUCAGUUGAGAAAGCAACUUGGGAUCCAUUUCUGGAGCCAAUGCCAGAGCCACGCGCAGCUCAACAUCAUUCACAUUUGCACAGGACAGAUCAUCAAGUGAAAAUCUGAAGCAGUGGCUGACUGUCUAUGGUUGUAGAAUCUCAAAAUUUUUAGUCAAGUUGAACUCUAUGAGCAUCAGGAGGAGCUUCUGCACACACAUUGGUAUCGGGGUCCUCAUCCUCAUUCAAGGUCAGUCAAAGAGGGAGAAAUUGCAUCUAGGAUAUGGAUUUCAAGCCUGGCAGCUUAUGCUCUAACUCUGGAGUUUUGAUUAGGAAAACGAACAUUGCAUCAAACGGAAUCUUGAGGGACAGAAAUCUGGCAUCACCAUCCUUGUUGGCCUUAUACAGAACAUCCAGACUCAGCAGAAUCCCACAGAUGAAUACGUCAGAGCUUUCAGGAAUCCAGUAUGACUCCUCUGUGAUGGACUCAACGCUUGCAUUUUGAGCCGGCAAUGCAGGUUCUAGGAACGGAUCAACGUUGUGCUCUGCUUUCCUUGUUCAAUCCUGAACUUCUCUUGGAUUGUGUUUGUAAUUAGUGUGCUGAAUUAUGCUUCGUGUGAAUGUGAACCAUCUAAGUUUUGCCUGUCCAGUGUUUGGUGAUCAUGUGCAAUUUGGUGUUUGAUGAAAUGAGCUAUGUGCUUGAGAUUGCGUGUGCUGGAUUGUCACCUUCGAAGCACUUGAAGCUAAAGCUGAAGCUGAAGCGCAAGGUCUAUUGCAAUGGCUUCCUCUCUCUCCGCACCCCCACAGGCAAGGUACCUUCGCUUUCACUACUAAUCUCUACCACUGAUGUCCAGCUCAACCCGAUCAGCAAUUUAGUUGCCUUUGAUUGGGCUAGGACAUGAUUCAGUUUGAUUGGCUAAUCUAUGUCAAAAUGGCAGUGGCUGUUAAAUUAUUACUGUUUUCUCCCAAAUUUAGCUUGCUCGAUCGAACUGAACAGCGGCAGCUUGAUGCUGCUUACGAUUUCAUUUUUUCUAUCAUCACGGAUUGUUCUAUUUUGUGCUUCUGGUUGUAAUACUCGCCGUGAUUGAGCUUGUUUUGAGUAGAUUAGUCCAUGCUGUGAUUGAUGGUUGGAUAAUGCCGUAUCAUGGCAGCGAGCAGCUGUUGGAAUGCAGGAUUUUGAAGAAUGAUGAAGUUAUUUGUUCCGGUGAGUCACUGAUUUCAAUGCUUAUUUGGUUGAUGUUGGAGAGCCUGGAGGAGGACAAAAGCCUCUAGAUGAUACUUAUAUUCACAGCCUGAUUAUUAUUUGGCAAUUGGAUUUAUAAGUUCCCUCUGCCGAGGGUAUUCCUUGCUUGUUUUCUUCAUAGUUGUUUUGUUGGUUCAAAUCAUCAGUAGGUGCAAUGUGAUGAAUGUGAAGUUCUUGGGUUUGGUUUGUUAAAAGUCCAAAUGGGUAUAUUUUACUUAUUGUUUGUCUUGGAAAAAAGAGCGUUGCUUGCAUACAAAUACGCGUAGACCCUACUUUGUGAUGCUUUGCUUGUUGCUUGUGUGGGAAAUUAAAUAUUUGUUCUUUUCCUUGCUUCAAACAGCUACUUGGGUAUGGUUCAUGUAUUGAUUGAUUUAGAAUCUAGAUGUAAACAUUUGCAAUUGAUCUACUGUUGCUUUUGUUCAAUGCAACUGAUCUUUUGAAACUCCAUUUUUUUCGUUAAAGUUUUUCCUUUUGUUAACCUUACUUUCAAUUGAUGCAGAGCUUUGGUUGAGUUUUUGGAUAUGAGGUUCAGUAUAAUCCCCUCUAUGAAUUACGAGGUGUGUUUUCCUUUUAGCUACUUAAAUCCUUUGGCAUGGAAUCUACAGUUGUAUUGCCUACAUAACUUUUCAUUUUCUGCAGAUGCUCCUAAUUCCUCAGAAACCGAAAAAGAAACACUGGUUAUUUUAGAAGAAACUGGUCGCUUAUGAUGUUGCAACCUGCCGGAAAUGGGAACCAAAUUGAUACCGUCCCUAUACCCUACAUAUAUAGAUUCUACAUCCCAAAUAGCACAGCUUGCUUUACAAUGCCUCCAAAUGACUCCUAACGAGCAGCCUUCGAGAUCUAAAGUCGUGGAAGAACUGGAAUCAGUAGACACUGGCAUCGCUAAUAGAAUAGAAGGGGAUAGUUAAAUUCACUUAUUAUGUCAUUCUUACUUUAUGUGAUGUAAGUCAAAGUCUGUUGUUCCACACUUUUCCAUUUUCCCGGGAACAAUCCCGGGCUUUGAAUGUUCAUUUCUAUUGUACCCAGCAGUUACUAGGAGUUGUCUUCUCUUGUAAGUUCUUUGGAAUAUCCAUGACAUGUAUAUUAAUAAAUGCACCGCUUUGUGAAUUGAGAUGUGAUUGUACUUAUGUUUAUGAGAGGAACAGUUCUUUAAGGCUAAUCCUCGAUCUUGUUGGCAAUCUGAGGUCCACAGAAGAAGUCCGUUGCUCUUCAAGAGCCCGAGCUCUUUAAUUUUCUUACAUGCUUGGGCUUUGAACAUGCGCAAAAGGUCAUUUUGGUUGCCAUUACGAAUGUGUUUAUGUGGUGCUUGCUCUGCAAUCAAUCUCCAGGAAGUGCUAGGCGGUUCAGUCCAUUCUCAUGGUAUUUUUGAGCUAUGAGACAUGGUUGGGGAAAUUGAUGGGAGUCAUUUAAGGCAAAGUGCUGCUCAGUUGUCCAUUCAGAAAGAGCAAGAUAUGACUUUUGGUGCUGUCAUGUUGCAGCUAAGACAUGUCUGAUUGUUUUGUGCUAAUAAGAGACAUUUCUUAUCAUAUGCCAGUUUUAGAUAAAACUUUUCAUGUGACAUCAUAAAAGACUAAAUUUUAUUUUGGGUUAAUACCCUGAAAAACCCCAAACUGGUACACAUGUGACAAAUUUAUCCAAAACUAUUUUUUUGAUCAUAAAAAACCCCAAAUUGGUACAUCCGUGACAAAUUUACCCCGACUAACUAUAAAAAAAAAAAACCCUAAACUGGUAUAUUUAUGACAAAUUUACCCCAAACUAAUUUAUUCGGCCGCAAAAAACUCAAAAAUGAUAAAUUUGUGACAAAUAUACCCUCGCUAAAUUGGAUUAAUACUACAAAAAAAAUCACAAAAAUUGUAAACUGUGAUAAAUGGAGCAUAAAAUCUUAAAUUGGUAUACCAGUUAAUUGUCACGUGUCAUUUAACUUAAUAAUUUAACAUUAAAAUUUAACGAAAACUAAUAGAGGGUAAAUUUGUCACAAGUGUACCAGUUUGGGGUAAAUUUGUCAAAGGUAUACCUGUUUUGGGUUUUUGGUGGUCAAAAAAAUAGUUUGGGGUAAAUUUGUCACAAGUGUACCAGUUUGAGGUUUUUCAGGGUAUUAAUCCUUUUAUUUUUAUAUUCUCAAAUUUAGAUAAGACUUUCCAUAUGACAUCAUAAAUUACUAAAUUUUAUUUUUAUAUUCUCAGUAACUUAGCCCAUUGGUUAUUGUACUUUCUUCACUAUUUGUAAAUCUAAGGGCCCUAUUAUUUUCGACACUUCUUAUGUAAUUUUUUUUUUUGAACUUGUUGAUAUGUCUCUUUUACAUCACUCUCAACGCGAAAAUAUAAAAGUUGCCAUCAUUUUGUUUUUUUUUUAAAUUUUAAACAAAUUAAAAAAAUAAAUUGAUUACACUAAAGAACUUUCCAAAUAUAUGUUUAUCAAAUAGUAAUUUCCCAAUGUUACUUCUCAAGUCAUUUUAAAUUGCAAAUUACUAAACAGUCUUUGCAUUUCACAGAACUCCUUUAGGCUAAGGGCCUUUACAUUAGCCAAAGGCGUUCCCCAAAAGUCAAAGCAAACACACCCAUAAAUGGGUACUUGAAAUUGAGCUUUAUGCAGACCUUUUUGCUUGAUUGUUGUUGCCCUGCUAUGUGACCUGCUGUUUUGUGUAAAUCAGCGAUAUAGUCGUCAUCAUCAUGGCUGAAGCGCUCUUGGAGAUCCGGCCUCAUGAAGUCAAGUUUAUCUGUGAGUGUAUAUAGUGCUGUGCGUUUGGUUCAUUUUUAUUUUGGAGCUACAUUCAAUUUGUGUUGCUUGCCUCCUGUUUUACUAGGCAAUAAGUGAAGGGGAUGAUAUUUCUUUGUUCUACAAUAAUUUGCUUGAGAAUUUGUGGUUCAACAUCAUAAAUAAUGGUAAAAGAAAUAUCUUAAAUAAGAGCUUCAAUGGCGAGUAUGAAUUGGUUAUUGGUCGCCCUGCUUUUCAAAUUCUUUUCCUAGUGUUGAAUUCUAAUUUUUGGUUAGGUUCUUUCUUUUUGCAUAGUUUCUAUUCUCGCACCACAAACUCUUAGAAUACCUUGUGAGGUGAAUUUCUUUCUGGAGAUAAAGUAAGUAAGUGAGUGUUGUAACCAAAUGACUGAGAAUGAUCGGUACAGAAAACCAACACGGAAAAUGAGAUUUCGUUGCUGCAUUAUGUCUUCAAAGAAAAUGUAUGAUGGUCCAUUUCAUCACAUCCUACUCUCAUGUUGUGCCCCGUUAAGUUCUUUUAUCUGAAGCCUCUUCUCCAUGUUUAUGCAGUUGAGCUGAGUAAACAAAGCUCAUGCUUGAUUCCGCAACAAGACUGAUCGGUAUGUUGCUUUCAAGGUGAGGAUUUUUUGCACCUUUUCAUUCACCAUGAUCGUGCUUUACUUUUUUUAAGGUGCGGUGGGCUAACAAUUUUCUUUCAAUCCUGUAUUCUCCUGAUGUAAUUUAAAUUUCAGAGUAGGACAUCAAUGCAUUAAAAGCUCUCUACUAUGGAGAAACAUUAUGAGCUUUAUACUGGAUAUCCAAAACAUUCCAGGUUAAGUCUACAUCUUUGAAGAAAUACUGUGUGCGGCCAAAUGUAGGCAUCAUCAACCCAAAUGGAGCAUCUGAUUCAAAAUUGUGCUGCUCAAGUCUGAGGAUCAUCAUGUUCACAUACUUAUUAAAGCCACUAACAUACUUGUGAGGAGGGACAUGCCUGCAGUACCUAAAUCAGCUAAAUAAUUAUUCUGCAAUUUUUUUGCCGUGACAUGUCAAUUGGACUGUAUUAUUGUUGGGUUACGAACUGCUUAAGGUAGAGUCAGUCUAAUUGUAGCAAGGAUCAUUUUUUAAUAAGAUUUUGAAUGCCUACCAUAGUAGCCUAAUAUACAUCGAGAUAAAUUAGUUUUUUGUGGGGAGAAUUACCCAAAAAGUCUUAAACCUAUUGUAAAUGUGUCAAUUCAGUCCUAAAUCUUUUUUCUGUCCAAUUUAGUUCUAAACCUUUUAUAAUUGCUUCCGUUGCUAAGGGUAUUGCUGCCCUAUCUAUCCCGUCUAACAUCGCUGCAGUUAUCGGUACUUGGGAUGAUCCACUCCCCACCCUUAACAACCAUGAUGACCGUCUGGUGUGGAUUGGCCACUCUUCAGGUCAGUUUUCUACUGCUUCUGCAUGGAGUAUGCUUCGAGCUAGAGGCUCCUUGGUUAAUUGGUCUCGAUUUAUUUGGAGUUCCACUCUUCCCCCACGCUAUCAGACCCAUCUAUGGCUCAUCACCCGGAAUAGAUUGCCAACCCAGGUCUUGCUUCUGUCGUAUGGGAGGAUCUCGGAUGGUUCCUGUGCCUUCUACUCAAGUAGGCCAGACUCAAUCGACCACUUAUACUUUGGUUGCUCAGUCACGGGUAGGAUGGUUUCGUUUUGGGCUCUAAAUUGUCACUUGAAUUGGCGAAAUGGUCCUUGGAAGGACAAUCUUCAGUGGGUGGUCAGCCACCUCUCGGACUCGUCUUUCCAUCACUCCAUUUCUCGCUUUGCAUUCGCUGCUAUGUGCUACCUUAUAUGGAAGGAGCGAAAUAAUAUAAUCUUUCGGAAUCAUACAUUAUUCCUGCCCGCCCUCAAAGAAAAUCUUCGGAAAGCUGUCAAAGAUAGAGUCUCCACUUUUUCAAGAAUCCCGGACAAUCCGUGUAAUCGAAGGAUCCAAAUGGCCUAGGGAAUCCAUCCUGCAAUCUUUGAAUAACUCUGUUAUUAAUCUCUGGCCCGUUACAUCAUUAUGCUCCUCUUUCGGUUGCCUUGGUGCCUCGGCUGCUUUUGGGUUCCCCCCCCCCCCCCCCCCCCCUGUUUAUCGUCUUGGCAGGUUGUGGCUCCCGGGCUCUUGGCUCUUGCCUGUUCCUUUCUCUUGGUCGUAUGUUUGGCCUUUUGUUGCUGGUGCUUCUUUUCUGCUUUGCAGCCCAUCCGCCUCCCGUCCACUCAGUUUGACGCUUGUGUCAGCUUGAGUGUAUGCUUGGAGGCGGUUGGUUGUUGUGCCUUUGUGUAACUCUUUGGUUCUAUAGCUAUAAUAUUCUUACCUCUUACCAAAAAAAAAAAAAACCUUUUAUAAUUGUGUCAAUUCAGUCCAUCCAGCCAAAAUUGACCGGCCUGCAUUGACGUGGAUGCCGGCGGGGGACAGCCGGCCAGCGAGGCCCCACCAGAUCUGGUGAGGUCAACCUCGCCGGCCAUUGGCGAGGGCGAGGCCUUGCUAGAUCCAGCAAGCUCGGCCCUUGCCAAGGCUGGGCGAGGCUGAGCCUCGCCAAAUCUAGCAGGGCCUCGCCUAGCCAUGGUGAGGGUCGACCUCACCAAUGGUCGGCGAGGCUGCCGUCACAGUGGAAAGAGCUUGGAGCUGCCCGUACGAGACAUUCUCCAAGCAAAUGCCGCCGCCUUGCACCUGAUCCCUGCCCUCCCCGACCGAAUUCACCCUCUCGAGGGCCACAAUGCCGAGCACCGAGGAGUGAGGGCAGUUCACGGCGCUCUUGAUGAUGGGAGGGAAGUUGCGGAUAAGGCAGCCUUGUCGCGGCUAUUGGCGAGGUCGACCCUCGCCUUGGCUGGGCGAGGCCCGGCCGGAUCUGGCGAGGGUCGAGCUCGUCGGAUCUAGUGGGGCCUCGCCCUCGUAGGCCCUCGCCUCCUACCGGCGGAGGUAAGCCUCAUUGGCCCUCGCCUCCUAUCAGCGGGGGUGAGCCUCAUUGGCCCUCGCCUCCUAUCAGCGGGGGUGAGCCUCACUGGCCCUCGCCUCUAGCUGGCGUCGUCCGACCAGAGGAAAGGGAAGAUGGGAAAAAAUAAAAAAAAAAUAAAAGAAUUUUAAAAUUUUAAAAUUCAAAAAAGAUAUAUAUAUAUAUAUAUAUAUAUAUAUAUAUAUAUAUAUAUAUAAAUUGCCUCACCGGUCGGCUGUCCUCCACCGACGUCCACGUCAGCGCCGACCGGCCAACUUUGGCCCGAUGGACUAAAUUGGACCAAAAACAGGUUUAGGACUAAAUUAAUAUAAUUGUAAUAGGUUUAAGACUUUUUUGGCAAUUCUCCCAUUUUUUGUGUUAGAAAACUCUCGAAAUAAUUUUUUUUUUUUAUACCUAGGAACCGUACAGACGGCAGGUAAAUCCUGGGGCGACGCUAGUAAAGGACCCAUCACCCCGACAUUCGCGCUUAAGAUCCUAUGCGUCUUGCGGGAUUCAAACUCCUGUGUCCUGGAUAGACGUCAUGGGAGCUCUUAUCUAGUUAGGCCACCGCAGUGGUUCAAAAUAGUAUAUUUGUAUUAUAUUUACCUCCAAAUUAAUUUUCGUGUGACUAGCCAAACGUAACUCAUGAGAUUAUCUCUUCGGCCCCGUCCCCGAACCAUGGGAAGAAAAAUACAGGAAUUUUGGAGAAAAAGAAUUACAGACUCCGAGAAGUUAUCAAAUGCGCCGUCGUUGUGGUGGUAGUCGGAGAUUAUCUCUUCGGAUAGGGCUGCCGGCGGGAGGAGAAGAGGCCGACGGGCGGCGGUGUGAGGCGGCGGAGCUCGGAGGCCUUCUCGAAGAGGCCCUUUGCGCCUCUUCGAGUACGCCCCGAUUCCCUCGGCCGAAGAGAUAAGCUCCGACUACUUCCGCGGCGGCGGCGGCGGCGGCGGCGGCGACGGCGACGUGGUGCCGCCGAUGGGUGUGACUGGAUUGAGGCUGAGUGGGAUUCUUGCGCAACGAAGGAGGACGUGGAGUCCCGGAUCGGCGAAGUAUGACGCCGUUCGUGAUUUCGUACGCAAAGAAAUUGGAAAGAUAUGGGAAGAAUUCGUCUUGCGAUGAUCGGUGCUGGUGGCGAUUCCGGAGCUGGGUUCGGUUGUAAUUGUGAAAUUUUGGCCGAUAGAGAGAUGGGUUCCGUUGUUGUGAGCUUUACAGUUUCUUGACUUUGCCGGAGAACUCGGCCAUCGGCGGUGGAAGCUCGGGAGAGGAGUCUGACGCUCUGUGAUCUUGAGGGCUAUGGAUAUGAUCCUGACCACUUUCUUACACUUGAAGAUUUGGAUGUUAUUCUGUGAUGUAAACUUGAAAUGCAUGUGAUUUUUCUUGUUAAACUUGAUGGUACAGAAUACAUGGGGUGGGUUGUGUUCAAAUUCGUCCCCUUUUGGAUGAGAAAAGCAUCAUUUAGUCAGUUGCUUCGUUGGUGAAGUUGGGGAUAGGAGGGAGAUUCAUGAUUUGUUGCUAGCUUGUGAAAGAGACGAGCUUUGAUUUAGACUGUCUUAUUAUGGCAAUGAAUUGACUGUCUCGGAUGAUGAAUGGCAAUGCCAGUGAAUGCAAAGCUUUCCACUGUCUGUGGAGUAUUAUUGCUUAUGAGAUCGGAUAGUUUAUGCGACUAAUCAUCUGUUCAUUGAUGAUUUCUUGUGGGAGAAACUUAGAAAAUGGUUUUGGAGAUAGUGGUUCAGAAGAGAGACGAGGAGCUUGUCAGUACUCUAAGGGGCUUCGAUGUGGAUGUCAGCAUGGUCCUUGAGGAUGUUACUGAGUAGUAUGUAUCUCUCUCUCUCUCCCCCUCUCAAAUUUACUUGUGCUUCAAGACGCUUCUUGCAUUACUUUGGGGUGAAGGGAAGCCAUUCCAUGUUCUUGACGUCAAUUUAUUAUCUGAAGGGGCAAAUGACCUUGAUUUGUAUGUAUUAGCAUUGGAAGUUAUCAUACCCGUGGUUUUUGAGGCCUCUCUGUCCUCAUUUUGAUCUAUGCUUCUAACUGAGAAUCGGUACUCGCACAAGCAUCUGCAAUUUGGCCUUGCUCAACAUCCAACGCCCCCCUUUUUUCCUGUCACUCCUCUUCUUAUUGACCUUCUUAAUAUAAACUGUGGGAGCUUCAUGCGAUCUUAAGAUUCUGUUUUCAUUCUUGCAUACAGUGAAAUCACUGCUGAAGCAUGAAGGGUAACAAAACUUGAUCAGAUUUUGCUUAACGGAAACAACAUAGCUAUUGUAAGAAACAACUUCUUCCUUCUGCUGGUAAUUAUAUGGCUCUAUGUUUUGAGCCCUUGCUUUGAUAAGGGCAUGGUCUUGCCUAAAGUUUUGGUAAUCUAUCAACUAGUAAGCAAUUGCCUUAACCAAACAGAAACAAUCCGCCGCUCAGCUGCUCAGAGAGAUUCCUUCUGAUAAGACUCAAAAUGCUUAGACAAUGUAUUGAUGAAUCAUUACUGGUCUUGAUUUUGUGGUAAAAAGGUCAUCAUCACCUAUUCUUCACAAUCUGGUCCUUUGUCUCAAUCAACCUUGUGUCCACCUCUUGAUAAAUAUAAAGCACAAGUGGUGUGGCAAUUAAGUUACUGAAAAGCUAGAAUUCUGCUUUCAAGUGCUUGAAGCACUUAAGUGAUGAUGCCUUCCUUUUUGUCUUAAUGCAGUUAGUCCCUGGUGUCUCCCCUGAUCCGGAAUGAGUUGGGUUCAUCCUCUAACUCCAGUGGCUGAUUAUGUAGUUACUUUUAGUUGUUGGAAGCCCCAUCAGCAACAUCAUUUGAUUUUAUAACCUCUUUUUAUGGGUUUAUGAAUCUGCACCUUAGUCAAUUGAGCUCUUAUUUGAUUGAGCCCAUGCGUGAAUGUCUGAUGCAAAUAGCUCAACAGAUGGUGCAUGAUCACAUCAUCCUAUUAUCCAAUAUCUAUGUUUUGCUCUACUAGAGGGUGUGACAAUGGUUGUCAUGCUUGGUGCAAAUUGUUCCUAGGUUUCAUCUUCCAGUGCAUUGUUAUUGAAGAACCUGUCUUGGCUUGUUUUAGAGUUCUACAGUUUUUGGCCGUUGACUGCACAAUGAUAUCUGUAUUUGCGCGCCGCAACCAUGCUAUCUUCUUGGUGGCCUGCUAUUUGACUACCCUCUCUGUUUUAUAGUACAUUCUCAACCUAAAUGCAGAAGGGUGUGUUCCCAAUAUCCACUUUGGAAAAGAUCAAAGAAUUCCACUUAUGUGCUUGUUGCUCUUUGCUUGAAAAAAUUCUACUUUAUUAUGCAGUAUGGUUCUGGUACCGAGACAUCAGGCCGAAGAUGUGCACUGUACUGCAUACAGCUAGAUGAAUAAUGGACGUAUUUUGCUCCAAGAGAUUUCAAUAUUCCACCCAAGUAGCUGUAGUUGCUGCACAUUGUGAAAAGAUCCACGCCCAAAGCGAACUCACUUGUUUUGACCAUGACUGGUUUUUUGUCGUUCAUGUUUUCAAGGCGGUUGGCUAUUUGGGUGGAGUGUUUUUUCCUGUUUUUGCGGUAGUGACAUUCAUCAGAGUUUUCUAGAGGAUUUCAGACUGCUGAAAGAGUGAGCUCAGAGCUCGUGAGGUGUGAUAUUGCUUGCAGACUUUGGUUAGAGCGACAAGAUCUAUAUAGGCUGGAAAUAAAGGUGCUGAAGAUUCACCAUAGGCCUCUUCUUUAUCGCUUGUUUUCAUGUAUAUUCACAACUGCAAACGAGCUUGACUUGAGGCAUGUAAAAUGAAGGGUAUAUGCUGAGAACUUUGUCUAGGCAUAGGUGCAUUUUUCUUAUUUGAAGCUUUAUUGGCCAUCGAAGCUCAUCAUCAUGAACAAGUUUGCAGUUUCAUUCCGAUUUUGAUUAGUUCAAACACAUGGUACGAGGUUCUUAUAAAAAUGCUAUGUGUCAGAAUUCCCGAAGUUGGAUCCAAAGUUAAAUAUAUAACAUGAUGUUUUUGUUCUGAGAUACUAAUAAUAAAAGACAGCUUGUUUUGAGUAUGUUGAUAUUUUCCUGUGACUGGUACGGUUCUUUUUCAUUCUUUCACCCAUUUCACCGUAACACAUGGUGCUACAACAAUUGUACCCUUAAAAAACAACGUAGGUUGGGUUGGGAAAGCAGUUAUAUUUCAGUAAUUGGAAGAUUAAUGUGUGACUAGUCAAACAGGGGAUUGUGAUUUUCCCUAGAUAUGAUGGAUACUCCUGAGGUGGUCAUAUAGUUAAUUUCAUUGUGGAGACCAAAUGGAAGAGGAAUUGAAUAUGCAAGGGAUGAGUGGGAGAAGAAUUAACCAAUUCAAUCAGGAGUGACUUCAGGCUAUAUGAUGUUUCCUUGAUUAGUUUCUUAUUCACAGAGUUAGUCUACACAAAAAGGCAGUUUGAUUUGUCUUCAAGCUAUUAUUCUAGUUGCAAUUUGAUUUAGCAAAUAAAAUGCAUACAUUGCAAUCAAUCCUACAUAAUUUAUUAUGACACAUCCUCCUGAAUCAAUGCCUCUGCUUGCUAAUUUGCAUUGCCAUUCUCCUAAAAAUCAUGAUAGGUCUGCUAGGGAAGGAGAUCAUCGCUUCUCACAAAUUUUUCAGUCCUUUAAUUCUUCUUGGAAUUGCAUUCCUUAUGAAAUGGAAAUCCUAGAUUCAAUGUUAAGACAAAGUUUCAUCCAAAAUUGGAUCGUGAUGUUCCAAAUGAAUCACGUUAGGUUAGUGAUGCUUGCUGAACAAUGUGUAAAAAUCACAAUGAUUAAAAAUGAAAAUUACUAGAUUUCAAUCUGGAGUAGUGAUUGAGAAAUCAAACUCUAACUCUCAACCUCUAUUCUGACCUUCUCAAUUAAAGUAUGGCUAGUAUGAAUGUCGAGACCUGAUUUUGUCGUUUUACUUCUCUUUUGGACAAAUUUAGAGAAUCACUUUAUGAUUAUGCAUUUAAAAGUGGUGUUGCGAGUAAGGUAUCGCAUUCACUUUAAAUUAAUUUUUUGUGUUGCAAAACUCCCAAAACAAUAUAUCCGUAUUACCUAUAUAUCCUCAAAUUAAUUUUGGUUUAACUAGCCUAACGGGAUUCACGAGAUUCUCUUCGGCUGUCCCCGAACCACGGGAAGAAAAAGACUGGAUUUUGGAGAAAGAGAAGAGGUUUUUAGAGCGAGACACACUUGCCAACCUACUUCAGACCCAAAAAAGAAAAAGCACACUUGCCGAUCUAAGUAAGUUAAAAGAGGACCAAAAUAUUAGGAAAUUCCGAAAAGUUUUCAGAUGCGCCGGCGCCGUGGAGGUAGUCGGAGAUUAUCUCUUCGGAUAGGGCCCGUCGGCGGCCGACAAGACGCCGACGGGACGACGGUGUGAGGUGGCGGAUUUCGGCGGCCUUCUUGAAGAGGCGCAAAGGACCUCUUCGGGUAGGCCACGAUUCCCUCGGCCGAAGAGAUAAUCUCUGACUACUUCCGCGGCCGCGGCGACGGCGACGGCGACGGCGACGUGGUGCCGCCGAUGGGUGUGACUGGAUUGAGGCUGAGUGGAAUUCUUGGGCGACGGAGGAGGACGUGGAGUCCCGGAUCGGCGAAGUAUGACGCCAUUCGUGAUUUUGUACGCAAAGAAAUUGGAAAGAUCUGGGAAGAAUUCGUCUGCGAUGAUCGGUGCUGGUGGCGAUUCCGGAGCUGGGUUCGGUUGUAAUUCUGAAAUUUUGGCCGAUCAAGAGAUGGGUUCCGUUUUUUAGAGCUUCAAAGCUCGUUGCCAGGCUCUCUUCGUGGACUUGAGUUGGAGAUGGCGACGGCUUCUUGACUUUGCCGGAUAACUCGGCCAUUGGCGGUGGAAGCUCGGGAGAGGAGUCGACGCUCUGCGAUGAGGGCUACGCAUAUAAUCCCGACCACUUUCUUACACUCGAAGAUUUGGAUGUUCUUCUGUGAGGUAGAUGUGAAAUGCAUGUGAUUGUUCUUAUUAAACUGCACCGUACAGAAUACAUGGGGUGGGUCGUGUUCAAAUGCGUCUCUUUUCGUAUGAGAAAAGCAUCAUUUAGUCAGUUGUUUCGUGGGUGAAGUUGGAGAUAGAGGGGAUUCAUGAUUUCAGUGGUAUUUCUCUUUUGCUAGAUUGUGAGAGAGACUAGCUUUGAUUUAGACUGUCUUAGUAUGGGGAUGAGUUGACUGUCGGGGGAGAUGAAUGGUGGUGCCAGUGAAUGUGAAGCUUUCCACCGUCUGUGGUGUACUAUUGCUCUUUAGAUCGGAUAGUUUAUGCAACUAAUUAUCUGUUCAUUGAUGACUUCUGUGGGGGAAACUCAGGAAAUAGUUUUAGAGAUUUGGUUUUUAAACUGAACUUACAACUGUGAUGUACGUCUUGAGGGAACAUCGGGCAGUUUGUUCUGUGUGUGCUUCAUAGCUUUCGGGCAGUAGGAAAAAGGUAAAAUUUCUGAAGGAACACAAUUAAAAGCAGUGAUUUGGAAGUCCUGUUAUAUGCAGUUCCUUUCUUAUCCUUCUCAAUGGACUUUGGUAUAGACAAAUAAUUGGGAGAAUAUUGUUUGCUUGCUUGCCUUUAUCAUAAUUAUCUUUACUCCUGUAAGCAUCUUAAUGACGAAGAUCAUCAUAUAUUUUACCAUGCCAUUGGUUGCUCAUUACGCUAUUAAGGGGUCUGUCUUUCAAGGGAUCAACCCAGUUCCAUCAUCGAAGGCAUUGUAUUGGAAGCCCAAUUGUGGUGCUUGUAUCUUGCGGAUGUAUUGGAGUCAGAGAAGCGGGCUUGGGAGAAUCUGCUAGAAACUCAGGCUAUCAGAGAAGCUGUAAAUCCUUGGAGAAAUCAUGAUGCGGAAGCAAAAAAGAAUUCAUUGUGCCACCAUUGUUGAGUUUGUACCUGGUAUGAUUUCUUCUCGAACGCUCUCAUUCAACAAGGAGAGAACUUUCUUUAAGCCAUGUUCUUGAUGGAGAAGUAUGAUAACAUUCAGAACAAAUAGGUCUAGGUGGUGGAGCUAUUUUGCUCAACUCCUUUUAGUUAAUGUGCAAUCCAUUUAUUUUAUGAGACAUUUUGGCAAUAGGUCUUAAUGCCUCUGGCUAUUAGACUUGUGCAUUAUAAUUGAUGGGAUGAUCGCACAUUAGUUUAUUGGAUCCUGAGAAUCGUGAUCAUAUUUCCAUGCGGAUUACUGCUCAAACAGGUUCGCUUCCAUACAAACUUCUUGUGUUGACAUUUGAUCUUCAGUUAGUAUAUUCAAUGUUCAUAAUUGAUAAUGCGUCAUGUAUCUGGUCAUCUUGUUGGUUUGACAAUAUAUCAGAUUUUGGCUUGAUUGAGAUUAUGUCUUCAUGUAGGUUUUAAAGUACCACCUAAAAUUAGAAAAAAAGAAAAGGAAAAAAAGAGAGACUAAAGUCCACUGAUCAAGAAAGUGAAAAGGAAAGAAACAGAGAGAGCCAAUGCCAUUAAACCAGUGAACUGGAAAAAGAGAUAUUGAAUUCUGUACAAUGCAGUUUAACAAAAAAAAAAAAAAAAACCACUUAUGUUCACAUUUGCAUCACAGAAUGACAUCCAGAUCUUCCAGUGUAAGAAAGUGGUCGGAAUUAUAUUGAUAGCCCUCGAGGUUGCUGUGCAUCGGCUCCUCUUCCGAGCUUCCUACAUGGAUGGCUGAGUUUUCCCGCAAAGUCAAGAAGCUGUCACGGUUACCGUCACCGAAAGAUUCCUCCAAGAGACUACGAAUCUCAGCAGGAUCAAAUCCACACCCCUCAAGGUCACAGUGCAUCGGCUCCUCUCCCAAGGAUCCUCAGCCGAUGCCUGGGUUCUUCGGAAAAGUGAAGAAACUGUCAAGGUCACCAUCGCCGAUGCAGUCCUUAAACGGACUAAGAAAUUCGUCAGGAUUAAAUCCACACCCCUCAAGGUCACAAAGCAUCGGCUCCUCUCCCAAGCUUCCACCCCCCAUGGCCGAGUUCUCCGGUAUAGUCGAGAAACUGUUGUGGUGGCCGUCACCGACGCAGUCCCCGGACACACUAAGGAAGUUGUCCGGAUUACAUCCGCACCCCUCAAGAUGGGAGCAGGUGGGGGUGGAGUCCACUCGCAAACCUCCACUGCCGGCGGCCGACUUCUCCGGCGAAGUCACGAAAGGGUCGCCGUCGCCCAGAUUUUCAGAAUCACAACCGAACCCGUCUCCAGAAUCGCCACCAGAACCUUUCAGAAUCACAACCGAACCCGUCUCCAGAAUCGCCACCAGAACCGAUCACGACGGACGAACCCUUCUCCAGAUCUUCCAACUUCUCGCCCACAAGAUCACGAACGGCAUCGUACUUCGCGAUCAGGGACUCCACGUCCUCCUCCGUCGCGCAAGAAUCCCAUUCCUUCUCAAUCCACUCCGCCCACUCGGUCAAACCCAUCGGCGGCACCGCGUCGACGUGGUUGGCAAUUACGUUGUCUUCCACGGAGGGGUCGCUGAAGAACGAACAGGGCUUGCCGGCGGGGGAGAAGACGAUGACAGCGGCACGAGCGCCGCAGAGGCAGCAGAGCUCGGAGGCCUUCUUGAAGAGGCCCUUGCGCCUCUUCGAGUAAGUCACGAGCCGCGCGGCCGGGUCGGCGAUCUUGGCGAUCUCCGUUCGCCGGCGCUUACCCAUUUCCGAUGGAUUUCGCGAGAUUUCUUCGACGAUUUGCAGGAUUCUUGGGUUUCCAGGAGAGAGCUUUCGUGGGUUUUUCUGGGUUUCUUGUAGAGAGAGAGAGAGAGAGAGAGAGAGAGAGAUGAAGUUUGAAGUUGCAGAGGAGGCGGGCGGGGGAAAGGAGCCGAACGGGAAGAUCUACUUAUAUAGCCAUCGUGGGGCCCUUUUGAGAACUUUCUGAAUUCUGAUUUUCGGUCCUCUAAAUUUCUGUAGAUUUUCAAAUUGGCCUCGAGAACAGUUUACUUGUGUCGAUUAAGUACUCUUAAGUUUUCAUAAUUUGUGUAAUUGGUGGUUUGUCCAGUGGAUUGCUUUUACCAUUAACACGGUGUGAUAAAUAAUUGAAUUAGAUAAGUGAAGAUGUCGCUUUAGAUUAUAAAUUUUAAUUUUUAAAAUAGAUAAGUAAAGACGUCGCUUUAAGUUAUGAAAUUUAAUUUAACAUGAGAUGAGGAAAAAAAAAACAUUUUUGUCUGUUUGAUAACAUUUAUUCUAUGAUUUUUUAUUUUUUUUUACUCUCUUCAAAUACGUGGAAAUAGCUUGCAACUAGUCAAAGCCAUGAACAUUUCAGAACAGUUGAGUUGAGAGACUCGACCACUUGUAUGCAAGUAUAAGGACAAAAUAAGGGCAUUCUCAAAUAUCCAAAUCGUACAUUACUUUAGAGAGGCCAACCUUAUUGCGGACUGGAUAGCCAAAGCUCAUAAAAAAAAUUACUUAUCUCUAAAUUGAGUUUUGUCCCCUCCUCGAACUAUGUUGGAGCUUUUAUGUAAUGAUGCCCAUUUAACGGGGCUCUCAUCUUUGCUUAGUAAAUGAAAUAUUUCUAUUUCCAACCAAAAAAAAAAAAAAACUUGGAAACAGAAAAAUCUUUGGAUAAAACAUAUGAAGAAGCUAUAUUGCUGCAAGAUUUGAUUAAAGGAAUAAUUUUUUUUAAGAUAAAGGACACUUUAAUUGAAAAUAUCAUGCCCGAUUAAAAUAUUUGCUCAAAUGUAUAAACUAUAACAAUGGGUAAUACUAUAUUUUUCCUCGUCAUGGAUCACGGUGCUAUAUUAGACAUCAUCAUGUAGUAAACAAAAUGGACAAAGCCACCUAAAUCUCUAAAUAACAUGCAAAAUUAAAUUCAUAUUUAAAACAUAAAAAGAAAUAACGGUCUCAUCUAAUUAUAAUUAAAAAGAAUUACACUAUACACUCCCAUUACAAUCCAAAAAUAGUUUAAGUGCUAUAUUUUCCCCUAACAAGUUAUAAAUUGUGGACAUCACUCACAAGCAAAGUAAACAGAAUAUUAAUGUAGGUUAUGUCUAUGGUUGUAACCCAUCAAUCAACUUACAUAUUUCACUAGCAUUUAACUUUUUGCACAAGGAUGGUAGUAAGACCAAUUAUAAAAUCUGGAUUCAAUUCUAUGUUUUAGACCUAGUAGGAUUUUGGCACAAAUAUGGAUAGUGUAAAUUUUAGAUAUAUCCAUGAACUCAAUAAAUCUCAAUUGCUAGAUUUUCGAACCUCACAUGAAAUCCGUGAUAUCAAGGCGAUCGCAAACUCCACUUGACACACUCUCUUGCGAUCAAGCUUUUGAUUUUCACAAAGAAGGGCAAUAGACGUUUACACGUUAAAGUUCUAAAAUAGAUUUUUUUUUUUGUCUAUUUUACUAUAUUUUUACUUUAACAUUCAGUCUUAAAUUUUUAUCCUAUAUUUUUGCAAGGUUUGAGAGUCGAAAUCCACACUUAAAAUCAAAUCGUCCCCACCCUCAAUCGCCUCUAAGAAAGUAAGAAUUCAAACCCCCAUCUUCCUAUGGUUCUAAGACAAAUGUUUUUUUUUUCUUUUUUUGGUCAGAAUUCUAAGAUAAAUGUUUGACCGGGUGAGUUUUUGGCAAAAUUUCGGUCCAUCAACGAAGACGAUGGGCUUGCAGGAGAAAAACAGGCACAAUUACCGUACAGGUUCAAUCCGCAGCACGACCCAAUAUAAAAACCUCAUAAAUUUUCGGAACGCGAUGGACUUUCGAACCCGAACCGACAUCCACGUCAGGUCACAGUGCCUAAGGGACGCGUACACGUGGCGCGUUUGGCAAGGAUUAGCUUCGUUGCAGGAGAGCAGGGGUGAAACACGAACGAACACCCUUUAUUUUUUUCUUCGGCGGUGUUGAUGCGACAUGAUGAGAUGAGAUGAGAAUAGAAUGAGGGGUGGCCUUUUAUCAUCAUCCGUGACGACCAAGACCUUUGAUCAUGCAAGCGGCUCAAGCUCAUCCUCUGCCUACAUCGCCUGCUGAGAUUCCUUCUCAGGUCCUCUUUCUCUCUCCCUCUCUCUCCCUCUCUCCUCCUGCUGCUGCUACUGCUUUACUCGUUGGAUUGAUCAUGCAAGCGGCUCAAGCUCAUCCUCCGCCUUCUGCAACGUCUGUUGAGAUUCCUUCUCAGGUCCUCUCUCUCUCUCUCUCUCUCUCUCUCUUUCGGUGGGCGUUGCGAGUUCUUGCUUUUUGUGUACGCAAGUCUCGUUGUUUGUGGGUUCGCGGGUGAGAUCGAGUUUCGUGCUUGAGAUGGGUCGGAUUCUGCCGGCGUCGGAAGAGACGGGUCGUCGGCGUUUAGGCGUUUGGUUUCCGUUUUCCGGUUGUUGCUCUGGUGUUAGCUGGUUCCGUGCAAUCUGAGCUCUUUGAGCUCGAGAGGUCGUGCCCCCUCCUCCGUCUUCCGCUUCCGGUGCUCUCGCCCCCCGGGAGAAUUUUGCUUAAGCUGUGGUUUGAGAUCUUGGUUAGGCUUGAGUGAGAAAAGUAGGGAGAGCUGUCGAAAAAGAAAGAAAGAAAAUAGAGGAACCCCGAUGCGGGAUGACACGAGUGCGAUUAAAUUUGAGUCGAACGCGACUUAGUGCAUUGCGACGUGCUUUCUGGAAUUCGAGCUACUUUAGUUUGGAACUGAUGAUUGACGCGGCGACGGUGACAGGAUAUGACUUGCGGCCCAUUCGGAGGCUUUGAGAAGUUUGCAGAUUGUGGGAAGAUUAGCAGGAACUAUGAUUAUUUUAGAAAUUAUACAACCGCCUCCAAAAGAUGAGAGCUUUACCUCGUGCAUUGUCAACUUUGACAAGCUGGAGCGAUGCUGCAAUGAAUCAUUCUUAUUACAUAAUUGUAGCACACUGGCUCACGACUCUAUGUAUAUUUAGCUAACUUAGGGUACCAAGUUUAAUGACCUAUAGAGAUUUCCAUUUGUGAGUCAGGCUUCUAAACAUUUUCCAUCUCUGGCUGCCAUUGCUUUUGCUGAUAUGCUGUUUGGUAUUUCUUGAAGAUCAUGUCCAAGGAAAUCGUGCAGAAAAACAAUGUACCUGUAAAAAUUGUUGGAAUAGUAGGGAGCACUUCUUUUACUCACACUAUGACAGAAGGUCAAGGAAUGGCUAUUUCAUCAGGAUAUGAAUAUGAAGUAUUCUUGAGCUUCAGAGGAGAAGAUACUCGAACAAGUUUUACCGAUUUCCUUUACACUAGUAUGAUAGAUGCGGGAAUCCGCGUCUAUAAGGAUGACGAAGAGCUCUGCAAGGGUGAAAACUUUGGCUCGGAACUUCUCCAGCAAUUAAUCAAUCGAAGAUCUCAAUACCUAUAUUUUCGAAAGGUUAUGCCUCUAGCGUAUGGUGUCUCAAGGAGCUAGUCCAGAUGGUCGAGUGCCAAAAAACUAGGGGACAAAAGAUUAUGCCCAUUUUUUUUAUGAUGUAGCACCUUCAGAGGUUCGACACCAAAUUAAAGGUUAUGGAGAGGCCUUUCUUACACAUGAAAACAAGAAGCGAUAUGACAAAGAGACUAUGCAUAAGUGGAAGGCUGCUCUCACCACGGUUGGAGAGCUAGAUGGAUGGGACUUGCAAAAAAUGGCCAACAGGUAAUUGCCUCUAUCAUUCCAUUUGAUGUGCCUUGUCCCAUUAAAACUUGAUGUGUUUCACUGUUGAAAUUGAAUUUUAUGCUAUUGAAACUUUACCGCAGAAAUCACUUGAAAUAAUGGGACAAUCCCCAUUUUGUCCUUUUUCAUUCCAAACAACCUUUUUUUUUCUUUUUUUUUUUAGUUAAGGUCAUUCGUGAAUCAUAUGUGCCAAUGCUAAUUCAUUUACAAUGAAGUAAAUCCUUGCAGAAAGCAUUUCAAAUGGGUCUCUAGUUUCACUUUGGUCUUGUUAGAAAAUAGCUUGGUUCAACACAAUUUUCUAACUCAUUGCCAUUUGACCUCCAACAAACACUAGGAAAGAAGGUGAGAUAGCAAAAACAGUUACUUGGAAGGUUUUCAAUGAAUUGAAAAAGGCUUAUUUGGUGGUAUCAAACAACUUGGUUGGUGUGGACAGUCAUGUGAAUAAAAUCAUGGAAGAGAUAGGUGCUCAUAUAAAUGAAACGCGAAUCAUAGGAAUUCAUGGGAUGGGUGGCGUUGGAAAGACAACAAUUGCCAAAAUCAUAUACAAUGAGCUUUCCAACAAGUACAACAAUUGUUGCUUCCUUUCCAACAUCCAUGAAACGUCAAAGCUCGGGGGCAUUGAGUACUUGCAGCAACAGCUCAUCUUUGACAUCCUCAAGAUGAAAGGGACGGAUAUAAGAAACAUUGAUGAAGGGAUUAAGACCAUUAAAGAAAGGUUGCCUAAUAAAAAAUUCCUCCUUCUUCUUGAUGAUGUUGAAGAAAAGGAUCAUAUGGAUGCACUUGUCGGUAAGCGUGAUUGGUUUGGCGAAGGGAGCAAACUUAUUGUUACUACAAGAAGGAAAGAUGUUCUCUGUGUUCCGGAAGUGGACUGGAGGUAUGAGCUUACGUGCUUGGAUCCGAAUCUAUCUCUUCAACUUUUUAGCAAACAUGCUUUUAGAAGAGAGUCUCCUGUAGACGACUAUAUCAACCAAUCUAGGAGGGCGAUACGCAUUACCGGAGGUCUUCCAUUAGCCAUUGAGGUCAUAGGUUCACUUUUAUCCGACAAAAAUAAGGAAAAGUGGGAUGGCACAUUGAAGAUGCUAGAAAGUGUUCCUCAUGAUAAAGUUCAGAGUAAGCUGAAAAUAAGGUAUGAUGCAUUAGAUGAUCGGCAGUGGCGUAUAUUCCUUGAUAUAGCUUGUCAUUUCAUUGGAUGUUGCAAAGACAUUGUGGUUUAUUUCUGGGAUGCAUCUAAACUUUUUCUGGAAGCAGUCGUGGAAGUUUUGCUGAACAUGUCUUUAAUAAAGAUUGGAGAAGAUAAGAUAUUGUGGAUGCAUGAUCAACUCAGAGACCUUGGAAGAGAAAUAGUUCGUCAAGAAAGUGAGAUGAAUAUAGAGAAGCAACGUUGGGUGUGGAAUCCUGAGGAUGGAUUAAAUCUGCUAAGGAUACAUGAGGUGAAAUGCUUUGUGCAAUACAUCUCCAAAUUAUUUAUAGACAUUUUCUUUUCCAAAAAAGUAGUUACUUUUUGUGUUCUCUAGCACCAUCGCGACCUACUCAACCGAUAGUUUUGGUCUUUUAAGAUUUUAAAGGAAUGAUAAUAGUCAACUCUACCCCUUAAAAUAGUGAACUUGAAGAAAUGUGUUUCCUUUCAACUUUUUUGUUUUAAAUUUUUUCCUUUGGGCAGGAAAAGAAAGAAGUUGAAGCUCUUCAUCUCAAGUUUGAUGAUUAGCACCAUUUUACCUAUAAGGACUUUAAGAGCCUACCAAAUCUAACGUUCCUUGAAGUAGACGACUUGAAGGAAAAUUUUCGUGGAGAAAAGUUGCUUCUUUAGCUCAAAUGGCCAUCAUAUGCUCUUCCAACUAAUAUUUUCCAGAGGAAUUCAGAUCUCCUUCCACGAUUACGAUGGCUUUCUUGGCAUAAUAUUAGCCCAACAUAUAAGAUUGCAAAUUUCUGCGUAGAGAAUUUGAUUAUCCUUGAUCUAUCUGGGAGUGAAAUCACUCAUGAUUGGAAGGGGUGGAGCCACAUGAAGGUAUGUUAUAUGCUAGACAACAUUUAUUCUUCCGUUUUAUUAGAUUCAAAAGUGAACUUUGCAUGAUUUUUCUUUCACAGGUGAUUAAGAAUUUGAAAGUUCUGAAUUUGGACUAUUGCCAAUGCUUGAAGAGAACCCCCAACUUCUCAACUCAUUCAAAUUUAGAACAUUUGAUCCUAUCAAAAUGUUACUCAUUAAUCAAAAUUGAUAGAUCAAUUUGUUAGUUGAAACGCUUGGUUUUCUUAGAUGUAAGCGAUUGUUGGAGUCUUCAGAGGCUGCCGAAUGAGCUGGGAGAUCUUGCAAGCCUCAAAUACCUAUCUCUAAGAAAUUGCUUGAGUUUGAAGAGGCUUCCGGAGACAAUCGGGAAUUUGGAAUUGCUGAUUGAGUUGAACAUAAGAACCACGAGAAUCAGAGAACCACCCGAUUCCAUCGGAAAGUUUAAGAAUUUGAAAAUAUUGAAUAUGCAAUAUUGUGACAUAAGCCUACCAAGGCUUCCUGAAAGUCUCAUAGAAUUAGAACUGAGGGAGUUGAGGGUGGACACGUUUUUGGAUCUCUCGUAUCUUGCUAACUUAAAGGUAUUGCAUCUAGGCUUUGGCCCACCUAAUUGUGAUGGGAAAUCUUAUGGGCUUCUGGAAGAAUCGAUACCACGGUGGAUUGUGAACUUAACCAAAUUGGAAUCUCUGAAAUUGCGCUUUUAUAAGAAGACCGCCUUAUCGACAGACCUCAGCGUCCCUCCUCAUCCGCGUCACCUCUCGAGGCUUCCCACAAAUUUAUCCUCCUUACUUCUCUUUGGUUGCGACUCACUUUACUCGAUGGAUAUAUCGAAUUUGAGGAAACUAUCGUCUCUCGAGAUUUUGUCCUGCCACUCUCUUUGCUCGAUGGAUCCAUCGAAUUUGAGGAAACUAUCGUCUCUCAGGAUUUGGUGGUCUCCAAUUGCAAAGAUUGAAGGCCUUGGUUGUUUGGAGAACCUACGAUAUUUGGAGCUUUACAACGUCGGACAGUUAGCGGUGCUACCUGAUCUAAGCAAGUUAAACAAGCUAAGGCAUAUUCGAGUAUGGGGAUGUGGUGAUCUGGUUGAGAUUCAAGGCGAACGACCGCGGUUUAUAGAUAAACUCAAAAAAAAUUUCUGUCCUUCAUUACAGGAGUUGCCCGAUCUGUUCAGCUUAAUGGGUAAGACAGAUCUUGAUGUGUUUAUUCGCAAUCGAACAUAUGAAUGUAAAGGUGGACAUGGGUUGUUGCUUCGUGGCUUUAAACAGAUGCAGAUCCCUAAUCUAAGCAAUUAGAACGGACUAACAAUUCUUUCAGUAGAAUCUUGUCAUAAUCUAGAUGAUAUUCAAGGCGAACUACCUCAAUCUUUGGAAUACUUGGAUAUUGAAUCCUGUGAAUCUUUACAGAAAUUGCCUGAUCUAUCAAGCUUGAAGGGAUUGCGAGAGGUUAGAAAAAGACGUUGUGGGAAAUUAGCGGUGGAGGAAAUUUCUCGGCUUUGCUCGGAGAAGUCAAUCAAAUUUGUGGGAGAAGACGAUGAAGAAGACAAAUCACCGGUUUGGGCAAGAAUACAAAGAUAUGAAAUACGACGACGGUCAUCUUCCACGGAGGGGUCGCUGAAGAAAGAACAGGGCUUGCUGGCGGGGGAGAAGACGAUGACGGUGGCGCGAGCGCUGCAGAGGCGGCAGAGGUCGGAGGCCUUCUUGAAGAGGCCUUUGAAGAGGCCCUUGCUCCUCUUCUAGUAAGUCACGAGCCGCGCGGCCGGGUCGGUGAUCUUGGUGAUCUCCAUUCGCCAGCGCUUACCCAUUACCGAUGGAUUUCGCGAAAAUUCUUCAACGACUUGCGGGAUUCUUGGGUUUCCGAAGAAGAGCUUUCGUGGGUUUUUCUGGGUUUCUUGUAUAUAGAGAGAGAGAGAGAGAGAGGAGGAGGAGGAGAGAGAUGAAGUUUGAAGUUGCAGAGGAGGUGGGUCGGGGAAAGGAGCCGAAUGGGAAGAUCUACUUAUAUAACUUUUUGAGAACUUUCUGAAUUCUGAUUUUCGGUCCUCUAAGUUUCUGUAGAUUUUCAAAUUGGCCCCGAGAAUAGUUUAUUUGUGUCGAUUAAGUACUCUUAAGUUUUCAUAAUUUGUGUAAUUGGUGAUUUGUCCAGUGGAUUGCUUUUACUAUUAACACGGUGUGAUAAUUAAUUGAAUUAGAUAAAUGAAGACGUCGCUUUAAAUUAUAAAUUUUAAUUUUAAAAUUACAUAAGUAAAGACGUCGCUUUAAAUUAUGAAAUUUAAUUUAACAUGAGAUAAGGGAAAAAAAAAGAAAAAAUAAAUAAAUCGAGAGGUUAAACGAGAGAAGCUCGUCGCCACGAGGUUCUCAUUGAAGGUUUAAAAAAAAAAUUCCAUUUGAUAACAUUUAUUCUAUGAUAUUUUUUUUUUCUUUUUACUCUCUUCAAAUACUUGAAAACAGAAAAAACUUUGUAUAAAAUAUAUGAAGAAGCUAUACUGUAAGUAAUUUCUUAAGUUGCAACAUUUGAUUAAAGGAAUAAUAUCUUUUUUUAAAGAUAAAGGACACCCUAAUUGAAAAUAUAAUACCCGAUUAGAAUAUAUGCUCAAAUUUAUAGACUAUAACAAUGCGUAAUACUAUAUUUUCCCUCCUCCCAUGGAUCAAUAUGCUAUGUUAGGCAUCAUCGUGCAGAAAACAAAGUAGAUAAAAGUAAAACCACUUAAAUCUCUAAAUCUCUAAAUAUUAGGUAAUAAUACCUUCAUCUGACUGGAAUAAAAAAGAAUUACUUUAUACACUUACAUUACAAUCCAACAAAAAUAAUUGACACUGAAUAGUUAUGUGUAUAGUUUAAGUGCUAAAUUUUCCUCUAACUAAAUUUAGUUAUAAAUUGUGGACAUGCAAAAUAAAUAAAAUAUAAAUAUAAGUGAUGUCCAUUAUCGCAACCUAUCAAUAAGAAUUGUGAUAGAGAAAACUUGGAAACUAUGGUCCAAGAAUAAUUCCUUUUUAGCAAAACAUUAUCAAAUAUUAUUGGGCAUGCAUAAUUCACUAGCAUUUAACUUUUUCUACAUAGUACAAGCACAAGGACGGUAGUAAGACCAAUUAUAAAAUCCGAACAAUUUUCUAAGUUUUAAACCUAGCAGGACUUUGGUGCAAAUAUGAAUAGUAUAAAUUUUAAAUAUAUCCUUGAACUUGACAAAUAUCAACCGUUGGAUUUUCAAACCUCACAUGGAAUCCGUGCGAUCAAGGCGACUGUAAACUCCACCUGACACGCUCUUGCGAUCAAGCUCUCAAUUUUUCACAAAGAAGGGCAAUUGACAUUUACACACAUGUCCUGUGUGUUAAAGUUGAUAGAUUUUUUUUUUUUUGUUAGUCAUACUCUACUCAUACUCUAAUAUUUAUGCUUAAACUUUUGCUCAACCUUUUUGCAAGGCAUGAGAAUCGAAAUUCAUAUUUGAAACUAAAUUGUCAUCAUUUAGAAAGCACCAACAUUUUUUGAGAGCAUUCAUGUUGUAUUGGACACUUCAACAUAUGUCUGAAACUCUCCGAUAAUCGGUCAACAAAUGUCGAAAAAUUUGAUAUUUGGUCAACUCUCCUAACACUCUCGUAUGCGAAUCAAGAAUUCCAACAAUGCACGAGUCAAUUUAAAAAAAUUUCAAUAAACAAUGGAUCAAAAUGUAAAUGUGUGAAAAAAUAACAAAGCUAAUAAAUAGGGAAAGAAGAAAAAUUUAGUUUUAUCUUUUUUUUUUACUCUCACUUCCCAUGACAUACAAUUCACCUCCAUUUUUUUUCUCCUCUUUCAAUAUGCUUAAACACGUGAAUCCAAAAUGUGGAUUGUUUGACUUUUUUCUUCAAAUUUUAUGAAUUAUUGGAAUGGAGUUGAAUUUACAAAAUUAAAAUAAUUGAUGAUAUUAACAAAUGGUAGAUUAAUAUUUUUAGUGUAAAUUCAUUCUAAGCUUUUUUUAUUAUUUAUUUAUUUAUUUAUGAAUUUGAAUCAAAUUAAUUUUAUUAAAAUAAUCAUAAAAUGAUAUAAAAAUAUAUAUUUAAUAUAUAACGUGUCCCAACGUAUUGAAAUUUUUUAUUUUUUUGAAAAAUGACGUAUUAGCAUGUCAUGUCAUAUUGCGUGCCGAUACUACUUAAAUAUCUAUCACAAUUUUCCUUAAAGAUGUGAGAAUUCGAAUCUCUCACCUCUCCCUUUUCUUUGUAGGAAGAGUGGCCAUUGAUGGUUUAGUUUUUUUUUUUUUUUUGUCGAAACAUUGGUGGUUACGUUGACUGGGUGAGUUUUUGGCAAUGUUUCAGUCCAUCAACGAAGACGAUGGAAUCGUAGGAUAAAAACAGACACGAUUACCGUGCAGGUUCAAUCCGUGGGAAGUGCAAUAAACUUUUACAAAUCACAGUGCGAAAAACUCCACAGAGUUCGCAGCACAACCCAAUAUAAAAACCUCACAAAUUUUCAGAAUGCGGUGGACUUUCCAACCCGAACCGACAUCCACGUCAGGUCACCAAGUCCAAGGGACGCGUGCACGUGGCGCGUUUGGGUUAGCUUCGAUGCAGGGGUAAAACACCCUUUAUUUUUUCUCCAUGGUGCUGAUGCGACAUGAUGAGAUGAGAUGAGAAUGAGGGGUAGGGUAGGGCGCUUUUGUGUGGGUUGCUGGGCUUGAGGAUAAGUAGCCGAGUGAAUUGUUUAUGUGACUGGUUGUCUGCUGAGUUCUAUGAGUCCUUGAGCGUAACUACAUGUUUUUUUUUGGCAAUCGUUGGUUUUGUUGGGGACAUUUACACCGGUUCCAUGGACCCACCCGCGAGCAGGGCCGGACCCAGUUCCCAUUUUGUGGAAACCGGCCCUCAGUGGGCGUUUCCGGGUUCUAGGGUGAGGACCGCCCACCCUGAAACCGAUCAUACCUGCCAGCAUUUCCAUCUUAAGUGACAAUAUCCAGCGUAAUUUUUCUUUCUUUGAUUUCUGCUGCUUUUUGCUGCUAUCCAUCGUCGAUUUCUGUGCAUGCUGUUGUGUCUGCCUGUGAAAGCUUUCGUCUUUUUGUUAUUUAGAAAGAUAUCUUUGUAUGCUGCAUUUUCUGGGCUAUCCGAGAAUUUCUGUACGUGGACUUAUAGAGGCGUGUCCUAUUGUGGCUUUCAUUUGGUUAUUUUCUAGUUGUAAAAAAUGGGUAGUGUGUAGGUCGAGUGGUGACUUGACCUUAUUCAAAAGCGGAGUCACGUUGAAUUCAAAAUUUCAAAGAGUAACUCACUCUUUUUUUAUCUGCUUUCAACAGCCGUUUCCCAAAGACAGAGAGGUCUCUCUCUAUUUUGAGUUGCAUUGCUUCUGAGCAGAAAAGUGUCCUCACUUUCCUUCAUGGCUAACAAUCCUUCACAGCUCCUCCCGUCAGGUCUGUCGGAUGUUUUAAUUCAUGUCUGUUUUGUUUUCCUUAAUUUUCUGAGAUUCGCAGAAAUAUUGGGAGGGCAUUUCCACUUAUGUUCAUCUUGCACUAAUGAAAUAUGCAGAGUUGAUUGACCGUUGUAUAGGUUCAAAAAUCUGGGUUAUAAUGAAGGGAGACAAGGAGCUUGUCGGUACUCUUAGGGGCUUCGAUGUGUACGUCAACAUGGUCCUCGAGGAUGUCACUGAGUAGUAUGUAUCUCUCUCUCUCUCUCUCAAAUUUACUUGUGCUUCAAGAUGCUUCUCGCAUUACUUCGGGUGAAGGGAAGCCAUUAUAUGUUCUUGACAUCGAUUUAUUAUCUGAACGGGCAAAUGACAAUUUGUAUGUAUUAGCAUCAGAAGUUAUCAAAUCCGUGGUUUAUGAGGCCUCUCUGUCCUCAACUUGAUCUAUGCUUCUAACUGAGAAUUGCUACUUGCACAAGCACACGCAAUAUGGCCUUGCCCAACAUCCAACCCACCCCACCCCCCACCCCCCUCCCCCUUUUUCUUUUUACUCACUCCACCUUUUAUAUAGGUUGUAGAUGUAAACUGUGGAAGCUUCAUGUGAUUGUAAGUUUCUGUUUUCAUUCUUGCAUACGGUGAAAUCACUUCUGAAGGACGAAGGAUAACAAAGGUCGAUCAGAUUUUGCUUAACGGAAACAACAUAGCUAUCGUAAGAAACAACUUCUUCCUUCUGCUGAUAUUGAUGUGGCUAUAUGUUUUGAGCCCUUGCAUCGAUAAGGAUGUGGUCUUGCCUAAAGUUUUGGUGAUCUACUAACUAGUAAGCAAUCGCCUUAACAUAACAGAAACAAUCAGCCACUCAGAGAGAUUCCUUCCAAUAUGUAGACUGAAAAUGCUUUGACGAUAUACUAAUGAAUUUUUACUGGUCUUGAUUUUGUGGUAAAAGAGUCAUCAUUCCCUAUUCUUUACAAGAAUCUGGUCCUUUGUCUCAAUCAACCUUGUGUCCACCUCUUGAUAAAUAUAAAGCGUCAGUUGUGUGGCAGUUAUGUUAUUGAAAAGCUAGAAUUCUGCUUUCAAGUGCCUGAACCACUCAAGUGAUGAUGCCUUCCUUUUUUUCUUAAUGCAGUUAGUUCCUGGUGGCUCCCCUGAUCUGGAAUGAGUUGGUUUCAUCCUCUAACCUCAGUGGUAGAUUAUGCAGUUACUUUAGUUGUUGGAAAUCCCAUCAGCAACAUCAUUUGAUUUUAUAACCCUCUUUUUUUGGGUUUAUGAAUCUGCAACCUUAGUUAAAUGAGCUCUAAUUAAAUCGAGCUCAUGUAUGAAUGUCUGAUGCAAAUAUCUCAACGGAUGGUGCAUGAUCACAUCGCCUUAUUAUCCAAUAUCUAUGUUUUGCUCAACUAGAGGGCAUGGCAGUUGUUGUUUUGCUUGGUGCAAGUUGUUCCUAGGAUUCAUCUUCAGGUACAUUGUCACUGAAGAACCUGUCUUGGCUUGUUUUAGUGUUCUACAGCUUUUGGUCAUUGACUGCAUAAUGACAUCUGUAUUUGCCCCCCUCUCUCUGUGAAAACACAUGCACUUCUUUGAGCGUUAGGGAUGUGGAUCCUCUUUCCUGCACCAUACUCCCAUGUGUGUCUCAACAUAUGUUGGCUUUUGAUGCUUACCCUAUCCACACGCGUCAAUGGUUGAGAAGCGUUUUAAGGGUUACAGCAUGAACGGGAGCCCUAUGGUUGUUGAGUAUCUUCAUCCAAAAUAUGCUAUCUUCUAGGUGGCCUGCUAUUUGACUAACCUUUCUGUGUCAUGGUGCAUUGUCAAUCUAAAUGCAGAAGUGUGUGUUCCCAGUAUCCACUUUGGAAAAGAUCAUAGAAUUCUGCUUAUGUAUUUGUUGCUUUUUGCUUGAAAAGAUUCUACUUCAUUAUGCAGUAUGAUUCUGGUAUCGACACAUCAGGCCUAAGAUGUGCACUGUACUGCCUACAGCUAGAUAAAUAAUGGGGGUAUUUUGCUCCCAGUGAUCUCAAUUUUCCACCAAACUAUUUGCUGCACGUCACGAAAAGAUCCAAGCUCAAAGCAAACUCAUUUGAUUUGACUAUAACUGGUUUUUGUCGUUUGUGUUUUCAAAAAGGUUGGCUAUUUGGGUGGAGCCUGUUUCUUGUUAUUGCGGUAGCAGUUCAAAGCUCACGAGGUGUGAUAUUGCUUGCGGAGUUUGGUUAGAGUGACAAGAUCUAAAUAGGCUGGAAAUAAAGGUGCUGAAGAUUCGCCAUAGGCGUCGUCUUCUUUUUCGCUUGUUUUAAUGUAUAUUCACUUCUCCAAACGAGCUUGACAUGAAGCAUGUAAAAUUAGGGAUAUUUGCGGAGAACUUUGUCUAGGCAUAGAUGCAUUUUUCUUAUUGGAAGCUUUAUGGGCCAUUGAAUCCCAUUAUCAUGAACAAGGUUGCAGUUCCAUUCCGAUUUUGAUUAGUUCAAACGCAUGGUACAUGCUUCAUUGAUUCUCAAUGAAUGCCAUGUGUCAAAAUUCUCCAAAGUUGGAUCUAACGUCAAAUACCUAAUAUGAUAUUUUGUUCUAAGACACUAACGAUAAAAGACAGCUUGUUUUGAGUAUCUAGAUAUUUUCCCGUGACGGGUAUGGUUCUUUUUCAUUCUUUCACCAAUUUCGACAUAACAUAUGAUGCUUCGGUUUGGGAAAGCAGUUGUAACUUAGUAAUAGGAAGAUUAAUGUGUGAUUAGUCAUAAGAGGGGGAUCAUGAUUGAAACUCUUGAAGUGGUCAUUUAGUUAAUUUCAUUGUGGACACCAAAUGGAAGAAGAAUUGAGUAUGCAGGGGAUGAAUGGAAGAAGAAUUAACUAAUUCAAUUAGGAGUGAUUUUAGGUUAUAUGGUGUUUCCUUGACUAGUUCUUACUCACAAAGUUAGUCUACACAAAAAAAUAGUUUGAUUUGACUUUAGGCUAUUAUUCUAGUUGCGGUUUGAUUCGGCAAAUAAAAUGCAUACAUUGCAAUCAAUCCUACAGAAUUUAUCAUGACAUAUCCUCCUGGAUCAAUGCCUCUGCCUGCCAAUUUGCAUUGCCAUUCUCCUAAAAAUCAUGAAAGACCUGCAGUAGGAAGUUCCAUCCAAAAUUGCAUGGGUCCUUUAAUCCAUCCUGAAAUUGCAUUCCUCUUGAAAUGGAAAUCCUAAAUUCAAUGUUAAGACAAAGUUCCAUCCAAAUUGGAUAGUGAUAUUCCAAAUGAAUUACAUUAGGCUAGUGAUACUUGCUGAACAAUGUGUAAAAAUCACAUUGAUUAAGAGUGAAAAUCACUAGAUUUCAAUAUGGAGUAGUGAUUGAGAAAUCAAACUCUAACUCUUAGCCUCUAUUCUGGCCUUCUUAAUAAAAGUAUGGCUAGUAUGAAUGUCGAGAUUUGAUUUUAUCAUUUUAUUUUUCUUUCGGGCAAAUUCAAAAAAUCACUUGAUGAUCAUGCAUUCAAAAGUGGUGUCGCAACUCCGGUUUCAAUGGAAAGCCGUAUUUGAUAAGAAGGGCUUCCUAUUCUGUUAAAUAUAUGAAGUACAAAGAGGUUUAUAUAAGUCUUCUUUUUCUGCAAAUACCCUUGUUCAGAUCUUCUUUGUUUUGGUUUGGUUUGGUUUAGAUGUUUCAAUGGCUUGAUUUGCUAAACGUGAGGUCAAAUUAUAUAAAUUCCAAGUGCAUUAUUUUAUCAAUAUAUUAUGUGGUGAUUUAUCUGAGAUACCUUAUAAUUUGCUGCUUUGUCUUACUAUAUUUGAAAUUGGUCAAUGCCCCAGUGUGCUUCUUUCACGACAUUCCUUGGUCUCGGGUGUCAACCUGGGGUUUUCUAGUGUUACAAGAAGUCGUGUCCAUCUCGGACAUCUACAAUGUCCUCCCACGUUUUUAUUUUAUUUUAUUAAAUAGGACAAACUAAAGGAAAAGACUGACCCAUUCAGUGACUUUCGCAAUCACCCUCACUGAACCAACUUGAAUAUGAACUACGAUUCAUAUCCAGUCUUACCAAAAUUGAAUUUCUUUUGCAUGCCAUGUGCGCUUAGACUUGACUUCUCUCCCUUUUUUCUUCCCUGUCCAAUAUUUGUUUGUUUUUUUGUAAAAUAUAUCGCUUUCUUCAUGCAGGAGAAUGUUAACUUCAUUAUACUGUAUACGUCAAAGUAGCCAUUACAAUGUGUUGGAAAGUAUCUCAGCACUUAUGGCAUCACCUCUACGACAACAACUGACACAAAAUUGUGACGUGAAGAAGAUGGAUACUCUACAUCGGUAAACGCAUUUCCAAAUUGUUUUUUGGUAAAGCAUGGUUCUUAAGUUGGAUUCAUAGAAUUUGAAGAGGAGGCAUUCCAAUUCAUAAUUAUACUAAAAAAUGUUUCCAGCUGCAAAUGGACUCGGUUUGACAUUAUCUAACUUGAAGUUAAAUUUGAAAUAAUGACCCAAAUUGUUUAAUUUCAAAUUAAUAGAAGUGUGGCAAAUAUUUUUCCAAUUUUCAAAAUUUAACAUGGAAUAGUCUCACGUCCGCAAGUUCUUAUAUUUGCACCUCUUUUUUGACAUUUUGUAAUAGAUAACCCACAAGCAUUAAUCGAGAGAGUGAAGAGACAGACCUCCAAAAAACAUUAUCUGAAAUGGAGAACUUAGUCAACAUUUUUUUUAAUCAUUAUACUCAUUGGAGAGGUCCAAUCAUCAUAAAGGCUUCGAGUACAAUCGUGAAUGUGGAAAUGCUAAUUGAGUUAAAUUCCAAAUGAGAUGUAAUAGGUCAUAUCAUGUUCAUGAGCUUAUUUACCAUACUUGUCAGUGGCUCAAAGCUUUAAUAUGAUUACACAUUGGUUUUGUGUACCUUGUUUUAGUAAUGUUUUGUAUAAUAAUCAGCACGCUGGAUGGAUUUAAUGCCCAAUUGCAAUGCUUUGUGACAAGCAAUUUAUUGACACUAACGACAAGUUAAAUGCUAAGGAUGCUUCACCCCCGAAAUAAAAUGUAAUCUUUUCUUAAUUCAAUUGAUCACUAGGGAGUGCUUUGACAAAGAUCAAGCCCGACAAUUCCACCAGGCUUUGUUCUUCAGAGUUAAUUCGGGCCUGGGCCCAAUCAGCCCAUUAAACUGGACCGACCGGAGUUCACCUUAAUUAGGAUUAGGGAAACGAACUUGUUUUGGAAGUUCAUGUAUGCUUUUGUUGACUUUAAUUUGAAUGAAUUAUUUAGGGGCAAAAGUAGAUUCUCAUCCGAAAAUUUCUACACCACAUAGUCCAGUGAUUUUCCACGCUAAGAAACAUAAAUUUGUCACCUUUGACAGGGUGCAAUGAUGCUGCAAGGAAGCAUCCUUAUUGACCAAUUUUGCAGCAAAACUGGCGCAUGAUUGUCUGCAUAUUCUGAGGUAAAGGAACAAAGGUCUCAAUAAUUAAGGCCCGCAUAUAAACAAGAAGUCUUUAUUUUCCUUUAAAAAAAGUAAGAGUUAGGCAGUGGGAUCCCACGAAUUUUCUCCUCUUCACAAGCUUUUAAGCUAAAGGAGCAAGCUCAAUUUGGAUUCAAAUGGAUGUAGUCUGAUUUCAAAAAAAUUGUGACAAGAGUUUCGUUUUACUAAAACAAAAGUUUGGUGGAGUGAUAACGAAAGCUAAAGCUAUCGGAGAACAAAUUCGAUCUAUCAUCAAUCUCAAUACAAGAAAUUUGAUACUUCCCAAGAGUCUUCUUUUUAACUCAUCGAGUCAUCGUGAUUUAAUAACUUCAAUCUUAAUAUUUUUUGGUCAUGCUGGGAUUUUUGCAUGAAAAGACUUCAGAACUUAUGAAUUAUGAAAUGGAAAAAUUUUACACUUCUAAAUCUAGCGAGAUUCUUUUUUUUUUUCUAUUGCGAAACAUGGAAUGUUUAGUUACCACAAAAUCUAUUCAAAAAACAGAAAAAUACUUGCAAAGAAACACCAUCUAUCCAGAAAAGCUUUUUUCUUAAAUAGUUUAGUCAAUCAUGUCAUCAAUUAAUAAAAAAAGUUGGAACGAUCUAAUUUAAUUAAAUGGAAAUGGAAUAUGUCGCAUACAUAUAAUUUUGCAUUGCAUCAAAAUACAUUCACUAGAUUAAGAAUUGGGUGAGAUCUAUCGAUGUGAUUUUGAUAAGGACGCCAACAAACUAAAACCUAAGCUUCAUGUGCCUUGUCUUAAUGUGGCAUUAACAUUAGCUCCCACUCUCGGAAAAAGAGAUAAAAAUCAGACAGAACAGCGUAUGGGCAGUGAAAGAAGACUGAAACCAAUGAUUGAACUAGGUCAAAGUCUACGAAGACUUGGACUACCAACAGUCCAUGAUGAACCAGCUUGCUCAAGAAGGAAUCACACCAUUGAUUGACCCAAGUCAAAGUCUACGAAGACUUGGACUACCGAAGGCAAAAGCUCAAGCAUUGGCGAGACUUCUUUUCCACAUCAGGAUGACCCCAUCUUCUUUUUCUUUGCUGGAUUGCUUUAUUUCUUUUCAUUAUUCACUUUGCUUUUUAACAAGAGUUUCCCUUGGAUUCGUCAAGGCAGUUCUACUGUAAAUAACUAUUGAGGUCCCAAUGGGUUUACGAUGAGAAUUUUGUGAAAUAACAUGCAUUCAACGUUUCACAAAACAAAUGGCAUUUUAAUUACAACUGCUAGCAAUAUGUGGAUUUUUUUUUUUUAUGUUGUUAAAAAUAUGUGCACUUUUACUCAAUAAGCACGAACUCUUCAUCAUUUGAAGUUUAACCAAUAAAUCUAGGUUAAGUAAGUAUACUAAAAUUGAUACAUUAAGUGAAAUGAUCAAAUCAUGAUUUAAUAUUUAGCAAGUGAAUAAAUAGAUUUGUGAAAAUAGAUACUACUCAAAUGGGAAUUCGAUACUUCCCAAGAGUGUAUUUUUUUACUCAUCAAGUCAAUUUGAUUAAUAACUUCAAUCUUAAAUGUUGUUUUUUUAUCACACUCGGAUUUCGGCCUAAAAAGAGUUAAGGAACUUAUGAAUUUUGGAAUGGAACAUUUUUACACCUUCAGAUCUAGUGGGAAAACAUGGAAUGUUUAAUAACCACAAAAUUGAUUUAGAAAAAAAAAUUGCAGAAAAACACUAUCUGUUUAGAAAUAUUUUUUUUAUUUUUAAAUAGUCUAACCAAUUGUAUCAUUAAUUAAUAGAAAAUUUAAUAUUGUCUAAUGUAACUAAAUGGAAAGUACGAAAGUGUUGUAUACAUGUGGUUUUUGCAUUGCACCGAAAUACAAUCAUUAAAUUAGGAAUUACAUGAGAUUGGUCAAUGUGAUAUUGAUACGGACGCCAACGAUCUAAAACCUAAGUGCUCGAGAUGCUCGCGCUCGCCAAAUCGACAAGCGCGAGCUUGAGAUCGAUGAGCUUGAGGUUCACCUAGUGACGGCCGAUGACUAGCCAAGAAAGAAGAAGAUGGGAAACAAAAAAAAAAGGAAAAUAAAUUUAAAAAAAAGAAAAGGAAAUUAAAAAUAAUUCAAAUUAAAAAAGAAAAGAAUAUUUAAAAAUAAUUCGAAUAAAAGAAAAAAAGAAGAAGAAGAAAGGAGAGGAGGAAGUGAGGAUUUGCAGAGGUGUGAGAUAAGAGAAAGUGGAAAACAUUUUUCCCUAAUUUAGAAGACUUUUUUUCCUUUCAUGGAAAACAUUUUCCCCCAGGAAUUCAUUUUCCAUGAAACAAACGCUGGAAAAUCUGGAAAAUGUUUUCCUGGAAAACAUUUUCCACGAAAUGAACGGAGCCGAAGACUUGGACUACCAAAGGCACACGCUAAAGCAUUGGCCGGUCUUCUUUUCCACGCUAGGAUCCAUCUUCUUUUUCUUUGCUAUAUUGCUUUAUUUCUUUUCAUUAUCAAUUUGCUUUUUUGAUAAGAUUUUCCUUGGAUCCUCAAGGACGUUUGAGGUCUCUAGUUAGUUAAUUAUUUUGAUAGUUGAUUGAUUGGCGGCCACCGCUUGAUCAAGGAUUUUUUUUUCUUUUUUUGGCCUAGCAGCACUCGAUAAGUAGGGCCUCUGAACUUUUUUCCAUGUCUGGAUUGUCUCCCAAAGAAAAGAUCAAGUGAGAUCAACGAAGGGGAGGCAAUGCUUGUUUUAUUCAUCAUUGGAUUGAUCAUAAUCCAGAUUGUGAAAAGUUUAUGAUAUCAUACAUAUCAACGCUUUAUGAGUGACUUUUAUUGGCUAAAAAACGGUCGAUAAUGCAACUUACCUUGGUUAUUGUUGAGUUAGUAUUGUGAAACUUCAAUUGUGGAGUAGCUAUUUUUAUUUAUUUAUCACGAAACAUAAAAUUUUUAGUUAUCAAGCGAAAUGUGGUAUACAUAUAGUUUUGCCUUGCAUCGAAAUAAAAUUAUUACAUUAAAAAUUGCAUUAUCUACCGCUCUCCAAAGAAAAUAAAAUAAAUAAAAGAACAGCGUACCGGUAAGGGCAAAGUCAAAGUCUACGAAGACUUGGACUACCAAUAAUCCAUGAUGAACCAGCUUUGCUCAGGAAGGAAUCACAUCAAUGAUUCAUUCAUUUGGUACUUUGUCCCUCACAUACGGGCAUUCAUGAACGUGGAGAUUCUAUCAAAAAGAAGGGAAAAAAAUGUCACCAGAUCACUUUGUCAAAGCUGACACCGACUCAUCGUUCUCCCAUUCACCCACAAAAUUUACAUGGCAAUAAAUUGAUUUCCAAUUUUCAUAUUCAUUGAUAAUUUCGUUACAUGAUUUCCUCCGAUUCUAUAAUUUCAUAUGAGAUUUGAAAAUCAAAUAAAAACAACCUCUAAGGAUGUCUUUAUGUCGCAGAGAAUUUUUUUUGUGAUGGGAAAAUGCUUUUAGCAAAUUCAACUUUAGAAAAAGGGAAUCGGAAAAUUUUGAUUAUGGUGAAAACAAGUUGAAAAAACUGAUUUUAUUGUAAUUUUUUUUUUGGUAAAGGAUUUUAUUGUAAUUGGUAAUAAGUGAAUCCACUAAAUGUAGCUUGUAUCAUUAAAAGUAACAUGGAAUGACUAAUAAACUAGAAUUGAUAUUUUCAUUUAUUCUAUAAUCCAUCGAAAUAAUAUUGAUUACAAAGAAAAUAAGAUAGAAAUUAUGAAAUCAUAUUUGUAAAAUAUUAGAUAUAAUCGUGCUUUGGGAAUGUAGAAAAAUUGAGCAUCAAUAAAGUAUAUUCUUCUCACUUCAAAGCUUAGCAAGAAAACAAGGAUAAUGUUUCCUUCUUGCCAAGUCAUUUUUCUCAAAGCUUAUUUGUUUAGGGUUAAUAUCAUGAAAAAUCUCAAAUUAGUAUAUCCAUGAUAAAAUUAUCCAAAAUAAUUUUUUGAUCACCAAAAACUCCAAACUGAUAAAUUUGUGAGAAAUUUAUCCUCCAUUAGUUUCUGUUAAAUUGAAUAAAUACUAAGAAAAAAACACAAACCGAUACACGUGAUAAAUAGAGAAUAAAACUCCAAAUCAAUAGAAUGGUCAAUUGUGAAAAUUUGAUGUAUGUUUUUGUUGACUUGACUUUGAAUGAAUCCACCAUUUAUUUGGGAGGCAAAAGUCGAUUCUAAUCCCAAAAUUUUUGCAUCAUAUGGUCCAAUGAUUUUCUGCAUUAAGAAAUGUACAUAAUUGUCGACUUCGAUGGGAUGGAGCGAUGCUUCAAGGAGUCAUCCAUAUUCAGCCAAUCCUGUGGCUUCUACGUACAAUGACCUACCCAAAAGUCAUUCUAAAAGAUCUUUCUUUUCAUUUCCUUGAUAUUUCUAUGGUGAAGGAACAAAAGUCUUUGAUAGCUAAGGCCCGCAUCUCAUAUGAAAAGUCUCUCUUUUCCUUUAAAAAGAGAGGAGUUAAGGCAAUGGGAUCCCGCCUAUUUUCUCUUCUUCCUGGAGCUUCUGAGCUGUAUAGGAGGACGCUUAAUUUCAAUUUGAAUGCAAAGAGUCUUAUUUAAAAAAUAAAAAAAAAUCUGCAACGAUACCUUUGGAGUUUCAUUUUACUAAAACAAAAGUUUAGUGGAGUUUAAUUAAAGUUAAAGCUAUUGGAGAACAAAUUUGAUCUCCGUUGGUCUCGAAUCGAUGAAUUUGAUACUUCUCAAGAGUCUUGUUUGACUCAUUGAGUCAAUCGCGAUUAAUUGCUUCAAUUUUAAAUUUUCCUUUUGUCAGAUUUGGAUGAUCGUAUGAAAAUAUUUAAGAGCUUAUGAAUUUUGGAACCAAACAGUUUACACCUUUGGAUCUUGCAGGAUUUUAUUUUACAUCCUUGGCUGCCCUGCCAUGUGUUUAUUAAAUGUCGUCCUUAUCAAAUACAAAUUGGUUCAUUUAGUCCACAUCGUACCUAUCGAAAUCUGCACGUCUUGGUGGUGUUGGAGCAUUCGCAUCGAUCGUGCACUCCCCAGCAACUUUGAGGAGGUCAGCUCGUCAAUCAUGUGGAAUGACCAUGGCCAUGGGCAUGGGUUAGGGUUUUGGAGGCGUGUGAGCAAGAGCAGUGACAACGAGGGGAAAAUCAAGGAUUUGGAGCAAAGGAAGAAACGUCCGAAAAGGUCAAGGAACGAUGGGGAAGGAGUUGUCGUGGGGUUUAAACGAAGUUUACCUAGAAGAGAAACUAAAUAAAAGGAAAGAUAAAAUUCUAAACCUGGCCAUGUUGAAUACUCUCGUCUCUUCAUCCAAAUAAAGAGAGACCCAUCAUAUGCUUUCUUCUCCCGAAAAGGAGUAAGACCAUAUGUGAAAUGCUAAAAUCAAGGUGGACGAAUGUGAGUCUCAAGCGCGAAGCGAAAAAGAUAAAAGCAAAGCAAUAAUUUGUAUUCCGUCCCACUUUUCCUUUGAAGUUUAAAGUGUAGCUGUUUCUUUUGUAAGAAAGACUGCAAAGUGAAUUAUCUCACUCCUCGGACCCUAAAAGUUGCUAAGUCCAGUUUUCUUUCAAAAGCUUAAACUUUGACUCUAAAAUUGCAAAGUUCAGAUUUUUAAGUUCGUCUGUCCAAGCAAGACGCCAAUUCAUCUCGUAACAUACUUUGAUGGGACAUAUUUUUGGUUACCAUAUAAGUUUGGGAUUUUGAUGAUAAAAGUACAAUUUGGAUAAUUGGUAAUAUGGUAAAUAUAAAGGUUACGAUUUUUUAUGGAAUAGCGUACUCAAUGUCGUCGAAUUUGCUACCCACCCAUUGCCAUCACUAGCCCUCAACUUCAUGCAUCGAAUAGCUUAUAUAUUACUUUUAGCCCAUGGUAAACAUUUUUAUGGAUCGAAUAGCUUUACGUGAUUCAAACAUUGGAAAUUACAAAAACAAAUUUCCCAAAUAUGAUUUUUUUUCCAUCAAACUAAGAAGGAAGAUCAUGAGGGGCAAUUCCAAUUUUUUUUUUUAUCAUUUUUUGAGAAAAGUACUACCCUCCGGAACAAAAUUGUAUGAGUGUCUGCACGACAACGUUGUUGAUGAAUCCAAACCAAAAAAAGAAGACGUUGAUAAAUGUCAGAUUUGUAUGCCGAUAGACCAUUUAAUUGAUGCCAAUAAAGAGAUCCAAAGUGAACAAUCAUAUCCCUUCAUAUAAUUGAUGCCAAACUCAUUGAUUUUCUAAGAUUGGGACAUCAGUAUUGAUGAAGAGAAACUUUAAUACCGCCAUCCUAAAAAUAGAAGCACUCCCAACAAGUAAACCGAGUGAUUGAGUCCAAUUAUCUGACGAAAUCGACUCAAUGAUGUAAGUUUAACAAUUAUCUCUACGGUGAUUACAAUAGCGAUGUUGUAACUUUGAGCACCACAGUGAGAUAUCUCAUGAUGCAGAAAAGGAAUCGGAUCUAGUCGUGCAAAGAGGUGGCAGCACGACCACAACAUCGGUAAUAAUUGGUGUACCGAUACAUCAAUGAGGUCUACCCUUACUGGGGCCAUACUAAACUUUUUUUUUCCUUUUUACGGAUAAGGUAUGAAUUAGAUAAUAAAUCUGUCAAUAAUAAAUAGAUAAUAGGAAAUACGAUUCUCCAAUUUCUUUUUGAAUUCACAUUUGGCAUUUUUGUGUUAUUUUUUUUCAUUUACUAAUUCAAUUCUACUACCUUUUUAUAUUAUCGCAGAAGUUUUAUUACAUAAUUUAUUUUACCGUUGUAUCAUUUACAUGAAGAUUCAAAAUACGAUCCAACUAAGUGGAAUAAAUCAAAUCUCACUAAAUCCAAAUGUUAAACAGAAAAUGGAAUAACCAGAUUAGAAUCUGACUUGACAUUCUAGAAAAACAGGAAUUCUUUCUAAUAAUUUUUUAACUACUAACUAAAACAUGUAAUGUAUUUCUAGCUGAUAUCUCCUUCUGUUUUCCUUUCUUGCCGACUAGCUCUAUACGUAAGGACCGGGUCGUGAUGGUGUGAAUGCUUCGCCGGGGAGUCUCGACUAAAAGCAGCCUCCCUUCGGCCGGGAUUCUCUUGCUUUUUAACCUUUUGCUUUCACGCUAAAUCUUUGCUGAAGAUAUGGUCUUCAUCACGAGGGUGUGCUGCAAUUUCUCCGCUGCCCUGUCCUUCUUGAACACGUUCUUCUCCUCAUCAGAGCAAUCCACCGAAGCCCAACGAGAAUUCCACUUGCGCUCUUCUUUUAUUUUGAGUCUUUUUUUUCAACUUUAUCUGCUUUCGGUUACGCAUGGCCCGGCCAUGUCCCCUCGUCCUUAUCUUGGUGUUCAGUCAGUCAACACGUUUCCACCGUAUCGUGUCCCACCAGAUUUUGCUCUCCAUUUUUGCAGAAUUUCAGCUCUCCAUUCCUGUUCCUUUGUGUGUUUUCACACUGCUAUUUCCCUUCCUUCGCACUUGCAUGAAUGCCGUAUCGAAAGUGGCCUCAAGUCAACCAUUUCGGUUCACAAAAAUUCGCAAUUUUAUUGGAAAGGGUCUGCAAUUUUAAAUGCGAAAGAAUGCAAUAGAGAUCAAGUGCAGGAUUAGAAAUGUUUAUCUUUUUUUAAUAAGGGGCCAAAUUAUCAAUGAAUUUUUUUUUUUAGUAACUGAGGAUCCGUUGGGCCCGCUGGGCUUACGCUGGGUAGCCCAUGGCCCGUAGAGUGCGCGAUGCACCCUGGACCAAGCGUCAAUACCUCGAGGGGCUGGCCCAGUAAUCUAUUCCUGGGACCCCCACUUAAGUCAUGUUAGCAACGGGAGGGCUCGAACUCUUGACCUCGAUGAUGGAGGAGAGAACACACACUAAUUGAGCAGCCCAUGGGUGGGUAAUUAUCAAUGUAUUUGAUUACUGAAUUUCAUGAGAAUGCGGAUAGACCUUUAGGCGAAAAUCUGUGUCAACAAUAAUUUUCCUCAAAAGUUAAUUAAUGAAGACCGAAACAUCACUGGAUUAGAAGGGCAAAGUCAAAGUCUACAAAGACACGGACUACCAACCGUCCAUGAUGAACCAACUUUGCUCCGAGAAGGAUUCACACCCCUGAAUGAGCCAAGUCUCCGAAGACUUGGACGACCAAAGGCACACGCUAAAGCAUUGGCGGGUCUUCUUUUCCAUAUUAGGAUUGAACCAUCUUCUUUUUCUUUGCUUUUAUUGCUUUAUUUCUUUUCAUUAUCACUUUGCUUUUUUGACGAGAUUUUCCUUGGAUUCUCGCCGUGAAUGAUGGUUGUGGUCCCGGUGGGUCAAUUACCUUGAUAGUUGAUUGAUAGGUGGCCACCAUUUGAUCAAUAAUUCCUUUUUUUCUUUUUUUUGUACAGCAGCACUACUCUUUGAGGAUACAAAUGAGUUGGGGCUUCUAUAAGAGGGCAAGAACCUCAACCCCGAACGCAGAAGGCGCCGCUACUGCUCGCACCACUCCGUCCACCAGCCUCCCGACGGAAUCACGACAGACGCAAGUGAUUGAGCCUCCGGUAGCUCCAGGUUCGUAGGCACUGUCUAUGUCCGUCUUUAGUGUUCCAUCCUGCGGUGGGUUCCAAAAUCGUGACAAUCCGUCGCUGGUCUUACUAGAUUUGCUCGAUUUUGGGUUCCUUCUGUUGAAACUCUUCAACCCAGCUAAAGCAGACUCCACAAGGUUGCUUGGCUCUGGUUUUCUAUUCAUGAAGAUGGCCCGGUUUCUUGACUUCCAAAUAUUCCACAGUAGUGUAGUAAUCGUCCGAUUCGAGACUUGGCUUCUCGCAUCCUGAUCUUGAGCCCUCUAGCUCUCAUCUCUGCUAUUCUUUCAUUCGCCAGUGUAAAAUAUUCGUAAAUUACCAUUUCUUACCAUUUCUUAUCAAAUAAAGUAGUAAAUUACCGACUCCUACAAAAUUUUACGAGCAUGGUAAGUAUAUUACCGACAUAGUCUAACAAUUUACAAACAUUACAUGGAAGUAUUAAAUUACCCACUCUCAAAUUUUACCAGUGUUAAAUAAAUUACCAGCAAAAUCAAGAAUUCACUAACAUACGAGUCAAGUGGUUAAUUACCAACUCUUAUUACCAGGAUCGUAAAUAAAUUACUGGCACAUACAAGAAGUUAACAACAUUUUAAUGAAUUAAUAUAUUACCAACUCCUCUAAAAUUUACUUACCAGCACUAUAAAAAAAUAUACCAAUAUAUUAAUGAAGGAGUUAACCAACUCCUAUGAAAUUUUAUCCAUGUGGUUAGUAGAUUGCCAACUCUUAUCAUCAAUGGGUUUUACACUUUAUCUUAAGAUGAAGUUGAAAGCAACAGGAUCCUUGAAUAGCAUAAGGUGAUCAAAUCAUAAGGCAGAGUCAUGGAGGCUAGAUUUAAACUACUUAAACUCAUAGCCUUGUUCAAAUCCAAUUCGAACGUCGAGCUAUACUUGAAGUAAUGACUACAAUAUUGGCACUUACUUUUUAUUUUAACACAUCAAAUGAAUAGCAGUGUAUCGGUAUUUUAUCUUCAACUCGGAAUUCCUAUAGACUAACAUUCUCACCAUGUUUGCAAGUCCUUGGCAGAAAAAAAAUUUCGACACUAUUAGUAUAUUGGAAAGUGGAGGGGCACGUCUCUAGGACCAAUAUAAAAAAAGAACCAAUUUUUGAGCUUAGAUAUGAGAGGAAUCUUCUUCUUCUUUUUUUCAUAAUAUUAGUCUAUGAAGUUGGAGACCAAUGCUAAUACAUAUUCAGUGUGGACAUCUUUAAUUUUGAGAUGCCUGACAAUGAUGGCAUGCGCCUCUCCUAAUUCUAUAGAGUAAUUAUAGAGGAAGCUAAUGCUCUAUGUCCAUUAUUCCCUAGAUAGAGCAAACUCUCAACCACCACAAUUAGAUUAUCAAACAAACAAAUUACAUUGGAAGCAUCCAUGAAAUUGCUAUUGAACCUUAUAUAAUGCAUUGGAUGUUGAAUAACAUGGAACCAUGCUAUUAUUUGGUUGUACAUUAUAUAAGUUCCAAACCUUAUACUUCGUUAACUUUGUCAAUGUCCAAUCAUGUUGCAAUAUCAUUUCGAAAAAGUACCACCGUGUCAUCUCGUGUGGCAAAUUUAGUCAUCUCAAAGCUUCUAAUCGGUGUCUCACAAUCAACCAUAUUAACAAGUAGAACACUCCAUCAAUACAAAUAAUUAUCAAUAUCACUAUUAAACAAAUGCACAAAAUCAUCCGGCAUACAUAUAGUUGCAUAAAAUAUGCUUGUAUGUUACUGAUAAUAGAUGUCGAAACGAUGUUAAUAAUCAACUAAAAAUUGAGAAUUUAAAAAUAUUAUCCGGUGUCACUAGUAAAAAAUACAUAAGGAACUCAUAAUCAACUAGAGGUGAAACACAAAAACAACUAUUCAUAAUCUGCAAUAAUCUUUCAAGCAAGUAAAUCGGUUGUUUCAUCAGCAUGUUACUGAUAAUCAUAAAAUCAAAACAAGGUUAAUAAUAUAAUAAGGAUUUAUAUUUGUAAAAUAGUUAUUUUUUUGUAAGUUACUACCGUUAACCAAGCUACUGACAAAGCAUGCAAGCAACUUGUAGUUUACUACCAAAAGAACUCGUCCACUUAUAAAAGCAAACAAUUGCUCGUAAGUUACAAGAGUAUAUUCCAUAUGGUAAAUCGAUUAUUUUAUUCAUGUGGUAUUUACAAAUGAACAUUGCUACUCAUAAAUUUGAAACAGUGGUAACACCAUAUUUGAAUUUAGAGGGGGUAAAAUAGGUAAUUUGUUUGUAAGUUGGAACAUCAAUCAAGACUACUAAUAAGUAUGUAAGCAUUCAUAUUCUAUAAGCGAAAAUACAAACCCAUUUGUAAAAUCUAAAAGAAAAAAAAUGGUAAUCCUAUGACACCCUGAUUUUUGGCCUCUAUUUUUGAUUGAAUAAGCUGGGUUUUUCAUCGCCGCACUUAUAGUUAUUUUCUCUAAGCUAAUCACUCACAAGAUAACUAGUCUAUCAGAUGAAGCCGUUAAGGGAUUUUAACGCAAUAGACUUGAGAAUUCGACUAGAAAUCGAUUACUCAACCAUGCUAAUUUGCAAGGAUCAAUACUACACUGUCAAAAUCGAUAAGAAAUCGGAGAUAGGUCAGUUUGAUUGAGGUAUGUGAGUAUAGGUGAUUCCACCUAAUUGCAAAAUUCUAGUUGAAUGGCAUUAAACCGAUUUUUUUGUCAUUUCUGUACCAUGUGUCCGUAUUUAAAAUCUCGAGAUUUUCACGACAAUCAAGAGUCGCCAAUGUGUCGAAGAUGUACAAUAUGGCUCAAAAAUAAUUAACCAUGGGUCAAUUGCAUCAAAAAUUCCUAAAAGUUACUCAGUGGCUAGGUCACGCUAAAAUCGCACUAGAUUGAAAUUAACUGCAAAUUUAAACCAGAUUUCAUAAAUUGAAAAUUCUGUCAUGUUACGAUUCAUUUUAAGAACGUUGAAUCAUCAUCCAAAGAUUUUUAUGUAAACCGAGAUUUUUGGCGAAAGUUCAAAAUAUGGCUAUUUUUGACCGGGAAAAUCAAAUGACUGUUUUUGAUCGCAUUUUUGGGAUUCAAGUUGGAAAAAUCAACGAGGAAAAAUCCUAAGAGGGAUGAUGGCACCUUGGCUAAAUUUAUAGGCUUUGAUUUAAGCUCAAUUGGAGGAGAAUUGAAAGAGAAUUGAAUUGAAUUGAAGGCUAAAUGUACAAAAUUCGUAGGCCAAGGGGGGAGCAACCUUUUGGACCAUUUGGGAGACUUCUUGAGGAAGCUUGGGAGUGGAUAAUGGCUGAGGAUGAUGGCUGAGCAAGUGGGGCAUGUUGAAUGAGCUCAAGGGGACAACUUUGGUUUCUAGAAGGCUUGGUGGCCCCCUCCUAUCUUCAACAGCCCCUUCUUCCUCUUUGAAGCCCCACUUUAUCCAUUGUUGAAGCUCUGGAAAGCUUAAGAGAACCAGAGAAACCAGCCCUCACAUCUCUCUCUCUCUCCCCUCCUCAGCCCCAAGUAAAUUCGUAACCUUUUCUCCCAUGUUUUUCUUCUCUGCCUGUUUCUACUCUAGCUGAUCUUUCUCCGAAAAACUAAGUUAAUAGUUGUAUUCCCGUGCGAAUUAGCCUUCGUGCCACCCACCAUCGCACUCAGAAGACCCAAACUGUUCAGGAGGACUUGGCCACUCGCCGAACAGAGCCGUCAGCUAACCUGCCGGCCGACUGGAAGAAACCAUUCGCCGAUCUAUUGAUCCGCCUGGCGGCUUGCACUGCUUCGCUUGUUUCGCUCGUUUCAGCCAUUUUUCUUCCAUUUCGACCCUACCUUCACCCAUACCAACCACCAGCAACUCUCCCUUGACCCCUAGGUACCACCGGUCACCGGCCAACCCCUUGCCAAAGCUCCGACCAAGCCUAUUCAGUUCUAUUCCUUCUCUAGCAGUCCAGUUUUUUGGUGUCUCAAUGGGAGUCCGAGUUUGUGGUUGUUGUUCUAAUCUCGGGACCGCCUUAAAUCACUGUGGUUGAGGUUCCCAAGCGUUGCUUUUUUCGUUGUCACCGCGUCCGUGUCUCUGACCCAUUUAACGGGUAAGUUUAGCUCCUAAUCCUUUAAUUAGUGCAUAAACUUGCUUAUGAGGUUAAUUAUGCUUAAGGAUUGAUUAGAUUAGCUUAAGUGUGGAUUAGUAAUAAUCUAGAAUGGUUAUAUUAUCUUUAUAAUGGGUUAAUGUUAAUCUGAUUAGUGAGAUUAGCACCUUUGUAGAUGGAUUAGUCCAAUCCAAUGGACUUUCUGCAGUUCGGAUUUCUAGACUCUCGUCGUUUGCCAUUUUUGUAGAUCGAAAUGGGUUGUGAAUUUGAGAUUGAUUACUUCUAGAGAAAUGUUUUAGACAUCUUCAAUUAUAACAUAUAUUUUACUCACGAUUUUUAGAGAUUUCAAAGUAUGAGAUUUAAGCUCUAUCAUUUACAAACAGAAUCUUAGACUCUACUGAAACUUGUGACAUUUUGAGAUUCUAGGGGUUUUUAUCAACUCUUAGGAUUCGAAUUUCAAAAUGAUUUCUUCACAAAUUUUAUUUUUCAUAUCUUCUAAUUUAACAUAGUCAAAUUUCAGAUCAAAUGGACAAGUUUUGUAUCUCGAAUCAAACUAAUUUUGGAAAACGGACUUUCUGGAAAUGGACACAGUUUCUGUGUUGGAUUGAGCGAUUUGUUGAGCUUAAUCUAGAAGGAUCUAGGUUUAGGUUCUUUCAUGAAAAUUUUUUUCUUACGUUUCAUUUACAACAUAUUCAAAUUUAUGAAUUUUCUGAACUCGUUUGGUUAGGUUUCUGGAUUUAAAUUUGGAGACGCGUGAGUGACCCAAUUUCUACCAAUUAUGACUGAUUUUAGUUUGGUAAUGGUUCUUGAUGCUUUGCUUGCUUUAAUUAAUGUUUUUAAUGACUUGUGGAUUUAAUAUAUUAGUUAUUUAAUUUUGGAAAUUUACUGUUCAUACGAACACUGUUCACGAAACACUGCUCGCACGCACUGUUCACCCAAGAAGGAAAAGUUGUAUAAUUUCAUGUGUUUUGAUCUUAUGAGGUGAUUUGAGUGUAUAAAUGCAUGGGCAUCCGUAUGAAUUGAGUGAUUUUCACAAAGAGAGGAAAAAUGGUUUGUUCGAGGGACAUCGAAAUGGACUGUCUUUAAGAGAAAAUAAUUUGUAAGUGUAUAUGCAAGCUUGUGCGCAUUGGCUAAGUGCCCAAAUAUAAAAAGGGAGUUGUAGUAGUGUGCUUGUGUAAUCAUUGAGUUGAAUCCGUCUAUCGUUGUGUGUCGAGUGGGCGAUGCUUCUAUAUGGAAAGCCCGUGCCUGUGUGGCGAUAAUUAAUUGUGCCUGUGUGGCGUAAGAUUGUGCAUAUGUGAUGUAAUAUCAUGCAUGUGUAGUGAUAUGCCUAUGUGGUGAUAAUAUCGUGCUUGUGUGACCGUAUUUCUGUGUGUCAGGUAGAUUAUACCUGUGUGGCCAUAUUUCUAUGUCGGGUAGAUUGUACCUAUGUGGCCGUAUAGCUAUGUGUCGGGUAGACUGUGCCUAUGUGGCCGAAAUUAAUUGGAACGCAUGAGUGUUGAGAUGGUUGGGCCUUGUUAUGGGGUAAAAUUGUGUGGCAUGUAAUGAGACAUGUCACAUCGAUUUUACCUUAUAAUCAUGACACAUGUGAUUGAUCAAUAUGUGCUGUGUGGCACACUAAUGUGUAAGAGUGUAUGAGAAUCAUGGCAUCUUUGGUUUUGACUAUGCAUGAGUUAAGCACAUUGUUUAUGAUACGCACGCAUGAAUUGAUAACGUGCAGGGUGUGGUAAUGAUCAGGUGAGAUCGCUUGUGACACGAUUCACAUGUGUUUGAUGAAUUGCAUCUCUAAUGGCCAUGUGCAUUGCGUGUAUUGUAUUGAGAUUCAACGUGCAGGGUAUGGCAAACCGGGUAAGGUUGCAUGCGAACUGACUAUUGUUUUGUUGGUCGUGGACUUGUUUGUGGGGUAGUUCUAAAGAGAUACCCCGGGUUGAGUUGGUGUCCUAACCGGGGCUUAGGGGAGGACUCACUGAGAUUUAUAUCUCAUUGGUUAUUGUAUAACCAUUUUUAGGUCCCUAAUGUGAAGAACCUGGAGGUUGAGGCGGAAGGGUUAGGAGCAUGGAUGACUCAGUAGUUUUUUUUGGAGAUAGAUCUCUUGUAUGUAGACCUUAAAGUUCACCUCUGUGUAUAAACAUUGUGUGUUUAUGAAAGCAUGUUUGGUUGUGAAAUUGUUUCCUGCUUUUCUAUCCCGUAUUAAUUACUGUAAAGGGUUUUCGUAUAUGGUUCCGCAUAUGCAUUAAAAAUAAUGGGUCGGCAACGUGUCCUGAGAACGUCGCAAUAUUAUCAACCAAUGAGGGAUGUGCGCGCGCUCAAGAUUCGGGGCGUGACAAAUCCACUAUUUGGUUUGAGAAUGAAAAGACUAUUUUUUUGAUAGCUUUCUAACAAUUGCCCAGAUUCACAAGUUAUCGAUUAAAUUUUACUUAUCAGUGAUACUUCAAGUUUAUAAUUGGUUCUUUAAAUGUAGCAUGCAUGAAACAAAACUCCAUUUUUGGUUUAUGGAAUUUUAGACACAUGUAAGAUUACAAACUACAACUAUCUCAUCACAUGAAUAGCUCUAGUUAAUUUUUUGAUCCAUUCUAGAGAGAGUGGUGGUCAUUUUUGCAGAAAUGACAUUAAAGAAAAACAAUUUAUGUUGUUGAAAUUUGAGAAGUGUGAAACUUUUCUUUUUUUUAAAAAGGAUGCUUUGCAUCAUGUCAUGUCAAAUGAGAACAUGUUCACACUUUCCCUUAGAUUUAAAACUCCUAGGAAAUAAUUUAUGUUCUCAAGAUUUGAGAAGAGCAGGCUGUUUUUUUUUUUUAAAUGAAAACUUUGCAUUGUGCUAUGUUAAUGUUCUCCCUAUGAGAUUUAAUCUCCUUAAGGUGUUAAAACGCCCCUUGAGAUUUAAUACUCAUAUAUUCACGUGCGUUGUCAACUUUGAUAGGCUGGAGUGAUGCUGCAAUGAAUCAUUCUUAUUGAACAAUUGUAGCACACUAGCCCACGACUCUCUGCAUAUUUAGCUUAUCCCAAAUACUACAUUUAAUGACCUACAUAGAUCUCCAUUAUUUGUCAGUUAGGCUUCUAAACAUUUUCCAUCUCUAGUCGCCACUACUUUUGCUGAUACGCUAUUCGGUAUUUUUUGAAGAUUAGAUCGAGUAAAUCAAUGGAGGGGAGUGUAGAAACACAACAUACCUAUAAAAAUGAUGGAAUAGCAGGGAGUGCUUCUUUUACUCACAGUGUGACAGAAGGUCAGGGAACGGUUAAUUCAUCAGAAUAUGUAAAUGAAGUAUUCUUGAGCUUCAGAGGAGAGGAUACUCGAACAGGUUUUACCAGCUUCCUUUACACUAGUAUGAUAGGUGCGGGAAUUCGUGUUUAUAAGGAUGACAAAGAGCUCUAUGAGGGGGUAGAAUUUGGCCCGGAACUUCUUCGAGCAAUUAAUCAAUCGGAGAUCUCAAUACCUAUAUUUUCGAAAGGUUAUGCCUCUAGCGUAUGGUGUCUCAAGGAGCUAGUCCAGAUGGUUGAGUGCCAAAAAACUAGGGGACAAAAGAUCAUGGCCAUUUUUUAUGAUGUGGCACCUUCAGAGGUUCGACGCCAAACUGGGGGUUAUGGAGAGGCCUUUCUUUCACAUGAAAAGAAGAAUCGAUAUGACAAAGAGACUAUGCAUCAGUGGAAGACUGCUCUGAGUAUAGUUGCGGCAAUAAAAGGGUGGGAUCUGCACAACAAGACCAACAGGUGACUACCUCUAUCACUCCAUUUGAUGUGCCUUGUACCACUAAAACUUUUAAUGUGGUUCAACUGGUUUCUUUUCUAGAUUUGUGUUAGCCUUAUUGAAAUUAUACUGCAGAAAUCACACGAAAUAGUGGUACAAUCCCAAUUUUGUCCUUUUUCAUUCCAAAUAACUUUUUUUUUUUUAGUUAAGGUCAUUCAUUAUUCAUAUGUGCCAACGCUAAUUCAUUUACAAUGGAGUAAAUCCUUGUAGAAAGCAUUUCGAAUUGGCCUUUAGUUUUCACUUUAGUCCUGUGAGAACAUAGUUUGGUUUAAUAUAGUUUUCUAACUCAUUGCCAUUUGACCUCCAACAAACACUAGGGAAGAAGGCGAGAUCGCAAAAACAGUUACCCAUAAGGUUUUCAAUGAGUUGAAGAAGGCUUAUUUGGUGGUAUCGAACAACUUGGUUAGUGUGGACCCCCAUGUGGAUAAAAUCAUGGAAAAGAUAGGUGUUCACACAAGUGAAACGCGGAUUGUGGGAAUUCAUGGGAUGGGUGGCGUUGGAAAGACAACGAUUGCAAAAUUAAUCUACAAUGAGCUUUCCAACAAGUACGAAAAUCAUUGCUUCCUUUCCAACAUCCGUGAAACGUCAAAGCUCAAGGGCAUUUAUUACUUGCAAGAACAGCUCAUGUCUAACAUCCUUAAAAUGAAAUGGACGGAUAUAAAUAACAAUGAGGAAGGGAUUGAGAUCAUUAAAAAAAGAUUGUCUGAUAAAAAAGUCCUUCUUCUUCUCAAUGAUGUGGAAGAAAAGGAUCAUAUGGAUGCACUUGUAGGUAAGCGUGAUUGGUUUGGUAAAGGGAGCAAACUUAUUAUUACUACAAGAAGGAAAGAUGUUAUCCAUGUCCCGGAAGUGGACUGGAGGUAUGAGCUUACGGGCUUGGAUCCAGAUCUAUCUCUUCAACUUUUUAGCAAACAUGCCUUCAGAAGAGAUUCUCCUAUAGACGAGUAUAUUGACCAAUCCAAGAGGGCGGUACACAUUGCUGGAGGUCUUCCAUUAGCCCUUGAGGUCAUAGGUUCACUUUUAUCUGGCAAAAAUAAGAAAAUAUGGAAUGCCACGUUGAAGAAGCUAGAAAGUGUUCCUCAUGAUAAAGUUCAGAGUAAGCUGAAAAUAAGUUAUGAUGCAUUAGAUAAUCGGCAGCAGCGUAUAUUCCUUGAUAUAGCUUGUCAAUUCAUUGGAUGUUGCAAAGACAUUGUGUUUUAUUUCUGGGAUGCAUCGAAUCUUUUUCCAGAAGCAGACAUGGAAGUUUUGCAGGACAUGUCUUUAAUAAAGAUAGGAGAAGAUAAUAUAUUAUGGAUGCAUGAUCAACUCAGAGACCUUGGAAGAGAAAUAGUUCGUCAAGAAAGCGAGACAAAUAUAGAGAAGCAACGUUGGGUGUGGGAUCCGAAGGAUGGAUUAAAACUGCUAUAGACAUAUGAGGUAAAAUGCUUUGUGCAAUACAUCUCCAAGUUACUUAUAGACAUAUUCUUUUCCAAAAAAAGUAGUUACUUUUUGUGUUCUCUAGCACCAUUACUCAACCGAUAUUUUUGGUCUUUUAAGAUUUUAAAGGAAUGAUAGUAGUCAACUCAACCCCUUAAAAUAGUGAACUUGAAGAAAUGUGUUUCCUUUCAAGUUUUUUGUUUUAAAAAUUUUCCUUUGGGCAAGAAAAGAAAGAAGUUGAAGCUCUUUGUCUCAAGUUUGAUGAUCAGCACCGUUUUACCUAUGAGGACUUUAAGAGCCUGCCAAAUCUAACGUUCCUUGAAGUAGACGACUUGAAGGAGAAUUUUCAUGCAAAAAAGAUGCUUCUUGGGCUCAAGCGGCCAUCAUAUGCUCUUCCAACUAAUAUUUUCCAGAGGAAUUCAUAUCUCCUUCCACGAUUACGAUGGCUUUCUUGGCAUAAUAUUCGCCCAACAUUUAAGAUUGCAAAUUUCUCCGUAGAGAAUUUGAUUAUCCUUGAUCUAUCUCGAAGUGAAAUUACUCAUGAUUGGAAGGGGUGGAGCCACAUGAAGGUAUGUUAUAUGCUAGACAACACUUAUUCUUCUUUCUUAUCAGAUUUAAAAGUAAACUUUGCAUGAUUUUUCUUUUACAGGUGAUUGAGAAUUUGAAAGUUCUAAAUUUGGCCCAUUGUCGAUGCUUGAAGAGAACCCCCAACUUCUUUGCUCAUUCAAAUUUAGAACGUUUGAUCCUAUCAGGCUGUAACUCAUUAAUCAAAAUUGAUAGAUCAAUUUGUCAAUUGAAACACUUGGUUUUCUUAGAUGUAAGUGGUUGUAGGAGUCUUCACAGGCUGCCGGAUGAGCUAGGUAGAGAUCUUGCAAGCCUCGAAUACCUAUCUCUAAGAAAUUGCGUGAGAUUGAAGAGGCUUCCGGAGACAAUCGGGAAUUUGGAAUCGCUGAUUGAGUUGAAUAUAAGUGCCACGAGAAUCAAAGAACUACCUGAUUUCAUCGAAAAGUUGAAGAAUUUGAAAAUAGUGAAUAUGCAAGAUACUGUCAUAAGCAAAAUACCUGAUGUCUUUUGGACGAUAGAGAAGCUCGAAGAAAUAAAAGUCUACGGCAGCUACUAUGAGCCUGAAGGCCACUACUUUAAGUCUGACCGAUAUUUCCAAGUGGAAAUCGGCAAUUGCAUCUACGGGAAUAAAUCCCUGAGGAUCUUGGGAUUGAGAAACGCGAGAAUACACGCCCCACGGAAACUUCCUGAAAGUCUUUUGGUAUUAGAGCUGACGGAUUUGAAGGUGGACACGUUUCCGGAUCUCUCAAAUCUCGCUAACUUAAAGGUAUUGUCUAUGGGCCUUGGCCCACCUAAUUGGGAUGGGAAAUCUCAUGGGCUUCUGGAAGAGCCGAUACCACGGUGGAUUGGGAACUUGAGCAAGUUGGAGUCUCUGGGACUGUGCUUUUACUGGUGGAGCACCUCAUCGAUAGACCUGAGCCACCCUCGUCAUCCGCGUCGCCUCCCGAGGCUUCCCUCAAGUUUAUCCUCCUUACAUGUGGAAGGUUUCUACUCCCUUUGCUUGAUGGAUCUAUCGAAUUUGAGGAAACUAUCGUCUCUCAGCAUUUCCAACUCUGCAGUUGCAGAGAUUGAAGGCCUUGGUUGUUUGGAGAACCUACAAGAGUUGGCCCUUCAGUUCGUCGGACAGCUGGCGAUGCUACCUGAUCUAAGCAAGUUAAACAAGCUAAGGCGUAUUGAUGUAUACUCUUGUGGUAAUCUGGUUGAGAUUCAAGGCGAACUACCGCGGUUUUUGGAUGAUCUUACAAUUGGGUCCUGCGAUUCUUUACAGGAGUUCCCCGAUCUGCUCAGCUUAAUGGGUAAGACAAAUGUUCAUAUAUAUACUCGCAAUCAUAUGUUUUACUGUAGAGUUGGACGUCUGUCGCUUCUUGGCUUUGAACAGAUCCCUGAUCUAAGCAAUUGGAAUAGACUAACAUAUCUUUUAGUAGAAUCUUGUCAUAAUUUGGUUGAGAUCCAAGGCGAACUACCCCAAUCUUUGGAAGAAUUGUGGAUUCAAUGCUGUGAAUCUUUACAGAAGUUGCCUGAUCUAUCAAGCUUGAAGGGACUGCGAGAGGUUACAAUAAGACGUUGUGGGAAAUUAGCGGUGGAGGAAAUUUCUCGGCUUUGCUCAGAGAAGUCAAUCAAAUUUGUGGGAGAAGACGAUGAAAAAGACAAAUUACCGGUUUGGGCAAGAAUACUAAGAUAUGGAAGAGGACGAUGGGCAAGACGAUGAAUAAGUGCACAUUGCACUUGGAAGCUUUUUGAUGCGCGACCACAAAUUGUUCCCUUGUGUUCAAACCUUAAACGAAUUGAGGUAGGUACCAAUGUUUUCCUUUUUUGGCAAUCAAAUUCUUUCACAGAUAUGAACAGAGAAGUUUUGAAUGCACUUUUUAAUGACCUUUUAGCGGAUUCUUGUCUGAAAAUCUGAUGAAGGUAUUUAAAUUAUGAUGCCUCCGAACAGCCAGAGGGCUCUUUUGUGUUCUUUUCCUAGUUUGGUUUGGCUUUUUUAGCUACAUUUUCUUAGGAUGGUUUCUCCUAGAGGUAUGCAUGUCGAUUGCAUCUUUUUUAUUUGAUAUGUAACAAAUUAUUAGAGACCAUUGUUCAUUUGCUGCUUCACACAUAUUUUGAAAUCGAUAACCUCACUUCACAUUGGAGAUAAAUUGGCUAUGCUGUAAACAAAUAGAUGGAAUGUGUGUUGGAAGGUCAUACAACUAUGGUUCUCAUCCUGGGACUUUACAGCACAAUCAACUCAUUGUUGUGACUUUGAAGUAGACAGACACUCUGUAUUGCCAUGCUUAAGUUCAGUUUAUUUUUCAGGAAAGGCGUGCUUCUUAGUGGGAUUUGCAAAUGUUAUGGAGAAGUCAUAAAUGAGGGAGCCACUGCAAUUCUGAGAUUACCAGUGUGGGAGCACUGGCUAAAGCAGCAGCACCAGAAUAUUUUAUCUCACCAAUGAUGCCUUCAAUCAUAGCAAUCUUUGAUGGGCACACUGACAAAAAUCAUUCUGCACUGCAAACAUCGCCUAUAGGAGUAACUGAGAG